AUGGUGGUUUUGGUUUUGGGGAGAGAAAUGAAGAGGUAGCUGCUCUAUUGGAUUUUGCGAGGUCCUUUGGGCUGGUGGUGGUGAAUUCGAGCUUUCCGAAGAAGGACGAUCACCUGAUCACCUUCCGAAGCGCGAUCGCCAAGACCCAAAUUGACUUUUUGCUGCUUAGGAAAGAGGAUAGGGUGAUGUGUAAGGACUAUAAGGUCAUCCCGAGUGAGAAUUUUUCAACCCUGCAUAGGCUCUUAGUGAUGGACUUGGGUAUAAAGAAGGAUCAGAAAAGAAGGGGAGAGGAGGGUCGACCUAGAAUUAAGUGGGGCGGCUUGACGCCGAUGAAUUCGCGGGAGAUAGGGGAGAAGGUGGCAGGAAUGGGGGUGGGAGUGUAGGGGGGGACGCGGAUAGUAUGUGGGAUAGAGUGGCUAGGUGCAUAAGGGAGAAUGCUAAUGAGGUGUUGGGUGUUUCCAGGGGCCGAGCUGGGCAUCAUCGACCAUCGGGGGGAUUGGUGGUGGAAUGAAGAAGUUAAGAAGAAAGUGGAGACUAUGAAAGGGGCGUAUGCUAAGUUGGUUGAGAGUAAGGAUGAAGAAGAGUAACGGGUAAACAGGAAAGAGUACAAGUUAACUAGGAAGAAGGCUAAAUUAGCAGUGAUGACAGCUAAGACGACAGCGUUUGAGAGUUUGUAUGUGGGGUUGGAGGAGAAAGGAGGGGAAAAGAGGUUGUUUAGGCUCGCUAAGGCUAGGGAGAGAAAGGGUCGUAACCUCGAUCAGGUGAAGUGCAUUAAGGGGAGGAUGGUAGAAUGUUGGUGGAGGACGGUCACAUUAAGAAAAGAUGGCAGUCGUAUUUCCAUAGGCUCUUGAAUGAUGAAGGGGAUAGAGCUAUUGUGUUAGGGGAGCUGGAGCACUCAAAGGAGUGUCGGGAUUUUCGUUAUUGUAGACGUUUUAAAGUGGAGGAGGUUAGAGAGACUGUUCGCAGGAUGCGAAGGGGUAGGGCAACGGGCCUGAUGAGAUUUGUGGAUUUUUGGAAGUUUUCUGGCGAGGCUGGGUUAAGGUGGUUGACUGGAUUGUUUAACGGCAUUUUCAAGACGGCGAAAAUGCCCGAGGCUUGGAGAUAGAGCACUAUGAUCCCUCUAUAUAAGAACAAGGGUGACAUUCAGAGUUCCAACAACUUUAGGGGUAUUAAGUUAUUGAGUCACACUAUGAAGAUUUGGGAGAGUGGUCGAGGUGAGGUUGAGAAGGAUAGUGUCUAUUUUGGAGAAUCAUUUUGGAUUUAUGCCCGGGCGCUCGACGACGGAGGCAAUUCACCUAGUGCAGAGGAUGGUGGAACAGUAUAGGAAAAGGAAGAAGGAUCUGCACAUGGUGUUUAUCGACUUGAAAAAGGCGUACGACAAAGUCCUAGGGAGGUUCUUUGGAGAUGCUUGGAGGUGAGUGGGUCCCGGUGGCGUAUAGCAAAGCAAUCAAAGACAUGUAUGAUGGAGCUAAGACCCAAGUGAGGACGGCGGGAGGAGAUUCAGAGCAUUUCCCUGUCUUGACAGGUUUGCAUUAGGGAUCUACUCUUAGCCCGUUUUUGUUUGCUUUGGUGAUGGAUGUGUUGACGCGGCGUAUCCAAGGAGAGGUGCCUUGGUGUAUGUUUUUGCAGAUGAUGUAGUUUUGAUUGAUGAGACGAGAGGGGGUGUGAAUGAUAAAUUAGAGGUAUGAAAAUAGACUCUUGAGUCCAAAGGGUUCAGGUUGAGUAGGAGCAAGUAGAAUAUUUGGAAUGCAAGUUUAGAGAACGAGGUGGUAGUAAGGUUGGAUUCACAGGUGGUGUGUAAGAGGGACAGUUUCAAGUAUCUCGGGUCUAUAAUUCAGGGGAACAGUAAGAUUGACGAGGAUGUCUCACAUCGUAUUGGGGUGGGAUGGAUGAAGUGGAAGCUCGCAUCGGGGGUGUUGUAUGACAAGAAGAUGUUGCCCAAGCUUAAAGGCAAAUUCUACAGGGUGGCAGUCCGUCCGACCAUGUUGUAUGGAGCGGAGUGUUGGCCGGUCAAGAACUCCCACAUUCAAAAAAUGAAGGUGGCGGAAAUGCGGAUGUUGCUUUGGAUGUGUGGGCUAACUAGGGGUGAUAGAGUUCGGAAUGAUACUAUCCAGGAGAAGGUUAGAGUGACUUUGGUGGAGGACAAAAUGCGGGAAGUCCGACUGAGAUGGUUCGGACACGUGAUGAGAAGGAGCACGGAUGCCCCGAAUGCCCCGGUUCGUAGGUGUAAGAGGCUAGCUUUGGAUGGUUUUAGGUGGGGUAGGGGUAGGCCGAAGAAGUACUGGAAAGAGGUGAUUAGGCGGGACAUGGAGCAGUUACAGCUUACUGAGGACAUGACCCUAAAUAGGAUGAUCUGGAGAACGCGAAUUAGGAUAGAAUUAGGAUAGAAGGCUAGUGUCAGUUUGGGUCGCUAGUGUAGGAUAUUACUUGGUGGGUAUAUUAUUCUUGUUAAGACACCUUAUUUCAUGUUCUAUUAUGAUUUCAUUUACUUUUCUUUAGUUACUAUUACUUGUGGGUGUCGUAUUUAUGUUAUGUCAUCUUGUUCCAUGCUUUAUUAUGGAUUUGAUUAUUAUUCCUUGUCUUGAGCCGGGGGUCUAUCGGAAACAGCCUUUCUACUUCUUCGGAGGUAGUGGUAUGGACUGCGUACAUCUUACCCUCCCCAGACCCCACUAUGUGGGAAUACACUGGGUUUGUUGUUGUUGUAAGUAAUCAAUUGACCAAGUAACCUUCGAGCACCUGCAUUUUUCUUCUGGUUGCAAAACUAUCUCAGCAAUCAGCAACUGUCAGCAUCCAUGAUAUAUCAAAAAAAUAAUAAUCAUAUGACUAUGAAACAGUAAAUCUCCAAGUGCUAAAAUGAUAAAAUUAGGCAUGACAACUCCUCAAGAGCUAAGUUGCACGGACUCUUCACUUUCGGUGCCGCACCCGUGUCGGAUUUUCCAAAAAAACACUACUUUUGGAGAAACUGAANNNNNNNNNNNNNNNNNNNNNNNNNNNNNNNNNNNNNNNNNNNNNNNNNNNNNNNNNNNUUCAAAGUGAAGUAGAAUAGAUGCCUGAUAUGCAAUGCACAGCGAAAUCCAACAUAUGUAAUGACUACAUCAAAAGAACCCACUCAAAUAAAUAUGAUCAAAUCUCAGGUCAUAAUCAAUUUUAUCUGAAAUAGAGGGCUCACAUAUGCAUUACCUUCCACUCUUCAAAAAUGCCAAACUGCCGUGCGAUAUCUUCAAAGUUUAGUUGAUCUCUGUACUGAAUACGCACAUCACCAUCUAUGUUAAACGCUUUCAAAAUAGCAUCAGCUCCGUGGAUGGGCUUAGCCUUUUUAACCAAGUCACCAAAAUGUUUCAUGUAGUUGUCCUGAGAACAUGAAACCACAAGUAACAUACGCGAGAGGAUUUAAAUCACAAACUUCUCACUCAAUAAUCUAAUAAUGUGAUAGCAUUCCUAAGUUCUUUAAUCUUCAGCAUUGUAAUAAUCCUUAAGUCAUUACCUCCAAAAGGUAACUAAGAUCCAUUGACUUCCAAUCAACCUUCAAACAAAAUUCCAGGGUAAAAUACAUGUCAUACAAAUGGAAAGGAUGAGUAGACAAGAAAAAAGGGGUAUGGCAAUGAAAUGACACAAGGGAGCUAGUAACAUGCCUGGACAUCAUUUAGCUUAAUUGGCUCAAGAUAUUGCUUGAAAAACUGCCCCAAACUAGAACCCUGUAAAUAAAAAAAGAUUGUUGGCAAGGUUUAGGAGAAGUGUUUUUGAUGAAGGUUUAAUAUUAAAAGGAUAAAAAAGACGUACAAAAGCACUGUACAUGUGCAGCUAUAAAAGACGAUUGAGAGCCCUAUUACGAAAGUCCUAAGCUAGAGACAGGGAGCUAACAGAAUUCAACACAGACUCGGGAGCUAAUAGGGGAGAGAUUGCUCCAACUCCAAUUACUUAAAGAUAUAAAACAUUUAGCUUCCACUCCAAACCACCAAAACACCUUUUGCUUCUUUCUGUCCUAAUGGUCCAAAAAAUGCAUCCAGGAAUCAUCUUCCCGAUCAUCCGAAUGGAUUUACCAAUUUUCCAUAAACUCAGACUGCUGAAGACAGCUUCAAUGCAGUGUUAACAAAGGCGCGCUUAAAGCACGCUUAAGACCUAAAGCGAGGCUCAGAACGUGUUGAGCGCUUCACUAUCGUCAUCAAGUUUCUAGGGUAUGCUUUUCCUUGCCAACGAGUUUCUUCAGAAGAGGCGACACUAAACAAUUGAUAUUUCACUUUAUUGUAAUUGUUUUUCAAUUUCUUUGUUCAUAUUUGUCAUUCAAGUUUUUCUCCCUUUGCGCCAUUUGUCAUUGAAGCCCAUUAUAUGCGUUUUGCGCUUUAAGCCCGAACAAACCUUUGAGCUUUUUUGCGCUUUUCGCUUUUGAUAACACUGCUUCAAUGCUUUCUGGUAAUACCCAACUGAGUCCAAAAAUAGGGGGAAAAAAUGCUCCGGAUGUCUGAAGUUACUGUACAAUGGAGGAAAAAGUGUCUACUUUUUCAAUGUGCUGAUGGCACAUAUAGCAUUUGUUAACUAAGUGAAAGAACCUCCUGCACAGGUCAUCUUGAGUGAGGCCGGCUUCAUUUAGAGCAGUCCAACUGAGGCAGAUGAUUUUAGGGGUAGUUCUGUUCUCCAGAUAAGUUUCCACGGCCAAUCAUCCAACAUUUCAUUUUGACUGAUGUUGUUAAGGUAACCUGUCUUGACAGUAUAAACUCCAUUUGGGCCUGUUACCCAGAUGAAUCUGUCUGAAAGUUGCUCACUUACCAUACAGUUUCCCAAUCUGCCUAGGAAGUCGAGCAUUUCCCUGAAGAUUGGAUUCCAAGAAUUGGCUUCCAUAUACAGAGAGAUAGUAGGGUUAGGUAUUCUGAGAUUGGAUUCCAAGAAUUGGCUUCUAUAUUCUGAGAGAUGGUACAGUUAGGUAUUCUAGCAAUUUGAUAAAUGUUAGGGUAUUCAGAUUGCAAGGUUGAAGAGCCUAGCCAUCUAUCUUCCAAAAACUUAACCUUUGCCCCAUUCCCAACUUGAAAUCUAUUGUUCUGGCUGAACUUGCCCCAAAGCUUGAUGAUGUUCUUCCAAGCGCCUACCGCAGGUGGGGAGCCCUGGAGACCUUAGUGCACCAGUUAUUGUGUAUCCUAUGAUUUGCAUCCACCACUCUUUUCCAGGUUGGCUGAUCCAGUGUUAUCAAAGGCGUGCUACUCUAAACAAGUGAUAUUUCAUUUUAUCGUAAUUCUUUUUUUCAAUCCUUUGUUUAUAUACUUGUCAUUCAUGCUUACAAAUAUUAGACUUGAACUUAACAUGUAUAUUUCUAGUUUUUCAUUAAAUCCCACGCUUUAUUUGCAUUUAAAGCCCCAGUGGACCUUAGAGCCUUUUGCGCUUUUUGCUAUUGAUAACACUGGGCUGAUCCUCUUCUACAUACCUCCAUAGCCAUUUCAUGAGUAAACGCAUGUUGUGAAGAGUAAGGGGUUGGUUCUUGAUGCCCAAGCCUCCCAAUCAUUUAGGCAGUUUAGUUUCUCGCAUAUUACCAGAUGAAACUUGUAAAUGAGUGCUGUUACCUGCCCACAGGAAGUUCGUUCUAAUUCUUUCCAUCUUCUUUUGAAUCCUUAAGGGGGUUAGGGAGAAGUGCCAUUUAUGCAUGAGGGAAUACUGUCAAGAGAGUUGUUGAUGAGAGUGAGCCUACCGCCCAUUGACAAAUACUGCAUUUGCCAUGUGGCUAACUUCUUUACAAAUUUCUCCACCAAUCCAUUCCAAUUUUUUUUAGAUCUGUGUUAGCAACCGCGAUGGGUUGUUAGGAAGGAACCUAUCUCACAGCAAAGAAUUCCACCCAACAGAUCCAGAUUUUGCACUUUAUUGAUAAUUCUCCUUAAUAUGUCGAUGUGGAGGCCAUAAAGAGCUUCAAACAUUUGAAGUGUCAAAUUCAAAUAUAACACCUGAAACACUUCUGCUCCACAGAAGAUCGAAGUGUCAUCUGCAUAUAACAGAUGAGAGAUAGUCACUGUAUUCCCUGUAGUGGUGGUGCCAAUUUCAAAACCUUGAAUCCAUUACAACUCCUUGGCUUUAUUUAAAUCUUGCUCAAGCCUGCCAAACAAGUUGGUGUUGGCUAUAUGAAUCCCCACUUCUUUAUUAAGAUGGUGGAAAUUGAUAAAUUUUCCAUCUUUAUCACUAUCUGUUUCAGAAGGUAAAACAGCUCAAGAAAGGAUGAACAGCAAUGAGAAACAUUUUUUUCUUGAUAAUAUCAAAAUGAGUAAGAACAGCAAUAUCACACCAUUGAAGACAAAAAUUCAGGUUCAACUACACUUACUUAACCAAAGUCAUCCAGCACUGAUUUAAAGGAGGACUUUAUAUACAUACAUGCUCACCAAAGUUGUAUGUUCUGCAAACUUCUGGGCGAAUAAAUUGUCGACCGCUGUGAUUUUCUUUGAGUCUUAGCCAGUCAUCCCAGUAAGUAAAAGUAAGGUCAAAGAAAAUCUUUGAAGGUUCCAAAGAGCAGUUAAUUUAUGCAAGAAAUAAGCACAUCAGUUUGAAAGGAUAUGCCUUUGGCCACUUUGGAGAUAGUUCGGCCCAAGUUGAUUUUGAAAGCAUCCAUCCAAGACCAGGAAAAAAAUCUGAGCGGUAAAGAGCAUCUGCAGUGUAAGAUACGAAGCAUUUCAGUGAGAUUAGAAAAGAAAAGCUCUGCUAAAAAACACCUACAAAGAUCAAUACAUUCCACAACAUCGAGCAGAAAUGGGAUUAACCUCCAUGGAGGAUACACUUUUGAUCAGCUCAACAAUGACAUAAAUGGGUAAAAAGAAGUUAAUUUUAGUUUUUUCUUUCACAGUCCAAAAUAUUCAAUUGAAGCCACAUCUUUUCCCUUUUGUUCUCAUUCAACCCUCUCCCCUAUAGAUCCUGUUUUGGAGCACUAAGGCUCGAAAGGUGUAUACAGAAAGUCUUGUAUUGGCUUUCAAUCAUUCAUCAUUAUCCCACCAUUAUUGCAUAGAAAGGACUACGGAGUCCUGAAAAGAGUGUCGUGGAUUUCUCUAACGACAAUCUUAGACAUAAAAUAUUUGUGUUUGUACUAAAAUAUUCAUCAUAUGAAUGCUUUAUAUACAUAUACAUAGAAAAAUAAUUGGAUCUUAUCAGUUCAAGAUCCUAUUUCCCUACUGCUGUUUUAGGACUUUCCAAGGAAUCAGAAACAAAAUGGACGUAUAACCAUUCAACAGAACAGAAAAAAGAUACCAGCUGCUCUAAGUAGAGUGUGUAGGUUUCUUUAUUGAAUUACGACCAAUAAACUUUUCUAAUGAAAUGGGAAAAGAGUUCAAAAAAAAAAUCAUAACCACCAAUUCAAAGGAGGAAAAAAGAAGGAAGAAAGAUGUAACUUACAAGGAUCUUGGACGAACUGCCUUUGUCCAUUGUCAUUCCAAGAAGAAACAGCCAUAAUCGACCUGGGAUGUUCACCACAAGGAUGUAAGAAAUGUUAUACUUGGGACAUCCAGAACAGGCAUUCUGCAUGUGUCAUCCCAUGUUUUAGGCCAAGUCCCAUUUUUGUUCGUUCACUAUCCCACUUAGCAUAUUUGGCCACUAGUUUAUGCAAGGAGAAGUUUUUAGUCCUUGUGCUAAGAAUGUUAUAUUAUCAAAAUGGAUAUUUAUCCCCCUCGCUCCACCAGAUUUUCUCUCACCACAAGCCUGGGAGAGCAAGAGAUCUUGGAUGGCUGCUGAAUCAGAUCUAAUUGUGUUGGUUCUUUAAAGAAAAUGGAUCCAAAAGGUGAACGGGAAGUUGGCCAACAAGAGGGAAAAAAAUAGAUUCCUGAUACAAGGAUGAAUUGAACAAUUCUUUGAAAGUAAAGCAUGGCAAAUCUGGAUCCUUUGAGAAUGCCUUACUUGUCUCUGUCAAGAAGAGUAGCUCCAGCCUCAAAAUAGGCAAAAAAAUCAACGGCAAUUUCCAUAUCAUCUGCACGUCAGACGGACAAUUAUUGUGAGAUGAAAAAAGUGCAGAGAAUAUGUAACUAAGUAAUUAAGAUAGAUCAGCAGCAGUACCUUCUAGUAUGAUAACACGACUAAAAUUAUGCUUGUGAAACAGCUGAUCCAGUGCCCACUUUGAAUGGUCUAAGGAAAGAGGGGUCCAAUGGUUAAUGCAAGACUAACACUAGUUGAAAUAAAAAUGAGCAAAGGAAAAAGAUAAAAACAUCCUUACGUGCAAUUUUGUAGUAUGCAAUCAGCUCCCCUGGUCUUUCAGUAUGCACAGGUUCAAAAUCCAAGUGCUGUCAAUAAAGAAUUAAAAAGGUCUUUUUUUAAGAACAGCCGAGAACGAAGUGCCAAGAAGAUUUUGAUACCAAACUUAAACACAAGCAAUGGUUGUACACUAUACUUCACAAUGUGAGGCCAGAACAGUUGUCAGCGAAUCAGCAAAAGAUCAAAAAUACAGACUAAAGUAACUGCAACGACCUAACCUUAUAGUGCAGUAGAUGAAUGUAUAUAUAAAACACAAGUAUGGCUACUCACGAAUAGAUAGAGACAAAGAGAUCACACACACACACACACACACAAAACCACAUACCCAGUGUAGUCAGACAAAGCGAGGCCACACACACAGAGACAUGUGUGUGUGUGUGUGUGUUGUCUUAGAAGAAUAAAUCAAACAACACAUGCCUCUUUCACUUGUGUUGUCUUAUAGGGGCAAAGGCAAAUUGUGUCACAGAAUGAAUAAAUGAUGUAGUAGAAGAGUUAAACUGAUAAGGAAAACAUUUGCAUGUCAAAUAAAGAUUAUGUAUCUUUUCUCUUUCCAUUUUUUAGCUGAUAAAUACUCCUUAUGGACAACUUUUCUACCAACUUGUUUCACCUGUACACAAUCUUGUUAUUGGAAUGACUAUAAUUGAGCAUUGCAAGUCAAAAUCAAGUCUGGCAACAAUGAGUCCUUAAGUCUAAUACUUCUUCUCCAAUCAAGGACCUGCCUGAUUUUAAUUGCACGGAUAGAGAUAACCCAAAUGAAUCCCGUUUUCCCUUUCUCAGACGGUAGGGAAGAAUACCUGCAUAUAUGUCAGCUGAUCAUAGCUCAAAGCAAGUUUUCUAACAUCAGGAUUUGAUCCAUCCUGCCAAAGGGAGGUGGCAAAAAACAAGAGAAAGAAGACAAGCAUACAAUAGAAGGCUAUGAGGGAAAAUAAAUGGGUACCUGAGAUAUGAAAAGAGGAAAUUUUGACGCAAUGGGUGUUUGAUAUCUGAUGACAACAAUCGAGGUACCGCGCUUAUCAACUGAGGAAUCUAGAACGUAAUAAGAAGCAGACUUAAUUGUUUUGAUAGAAAGCAUACUUUAAGAUGGAUUUGAUAGUCCUCUCCAAGUAGUCAGCACGAUUGCAAGCCAUAACAACUACAGCAGCCACUGGCAUCUAGUAUAUAUAGUAAUUAGAUGAUGAACAAACAUUUGACAGAAUUCAGGUUAACAGAUGUUGGUAGCAUGACUGAAGAUGUGAGAAUGUAUGUAAACCUGCAAAUUUCCAAUCAACUUUUUUAUGCCCUUGCCUGUAACAGAUAAAUUAACAACAUCAAAUAUAUAAGUAAGUUCAAAUACUUGUAGGCAGGAGUAUAUUUAUUUAUUUAUGUUUGAUAAGGUAAGAUUACUUGUAUUUGUAUUUAUAAGUAAGUUCAAAUAUUUGUAUUUGCUGUCAAUUCUGUAUUUCAACUAAUGGUUUAUUUAGAUCAUAUUGAGUAAUAGUUUAGUUCAUCAGUCAUAACUACCAUUGCAUUCUUUUUUCAAGCUUAUCAGUUGGUUAUUAACAUCUAUUCUGACAUUGCAUUCAUUUAUCAAGCUUCUUAGUUGAUUUUGAUAUUCACUAGAUAAAGCCGGAAGCCGAGGGUCUAUCGGAAACAACCUCUCUACUUCUUCGGAGGUAGCGGUAUUUUUGUUGUUGUUGAUGUUUGAUAAGGUAAGAUUAGUUGUAGGCAUGAGUAUAUCUAGAAUUAGAGCCCAUAUUAAUAACUCAAUGAUGUGAACUGACACAUUGACACUAACAUAUCUUUAUUUAUCAUGUACAAUAGGUAUGAUUUGUACAGGCAUACAUUCAUAUAACUGCAACUAAAAGCAGUGGCUUUUUGACAAAAAGCUGAAAGAAUGAAGAGGAGUUUCUGAACUUACUUUCAAGAUCCUGAACAAGAGCCUUUAAUUGUCGGCACUCCUGGUCCUGGCGCUUCAUUUGUUCUGAAAAUGUAGCAAGAUGAAGAUAAGGAAAGUACAACUACCCAUUACCCUUCAUAUAAAGAAGAUAAAAAGCAUUCAGUUUCUGACAGCAAAUACCAGAUUUUUAUUUCUUUUCGAUUGGUGCAAAAAACAGAUUUUAUCAUUUGAGAUCUACAUUAUCACAGAAAGAAUAAGGAACAAUGCAUUGAAAGAGAAACAUGAAGAACUGAACAGGUCCUAUCCUCCCUGCUUAUCCACGUCUUGCAACAUACAAGACCAAAAAAAUAAAUUUUGUAAAAGAAAACAUAUCUACACCAUUUUUUACCCCAACUCAUGUACGAUAGGACGAAAACUUACAUAUAAUUUUCAAGAUACACGAUUUCCAAUAGCUCCGUUUGUCGAAUGGAGGAAAUAAAUUCAUUUCUCAGAUAGUUGGAAAGAGGACACAAAAAAAAGAAAGAAAAGAUCACACCGGAGAACAAAGUGCACCUUCAAGAGCCACUACUCUUCCUCGCUGCUGGCUAAUCUGGUCAAUAAGCAACCUAGUCUGACUUGUACAAUGACUUUCUGCUUCAAUCUGUGCCAUUCACAUGAUUUGUACACAUUAUAAGCAAUUAAAAGUUCUUUUCUUCCUUUGUCUUUAUCAGGUAAAUAUAGUUUCUUAAAAGUUCUUUUCUUCUUUCUUUAGCCUACAUCAUUGACACAGGAUGCAGUUGUGUGCUGAGAAGAAAAUGCAAAAGAAGAUUAAGCAAUCUCUUGUUGAGAAGAAAAAAGAGAGGAUAUUCAGAAUGACAUUUGAAUUGUGAACGAUACCUUCAAGUGGAGCAUAUGAAGCUUAAAGAAUGUUAUGUUCAAAAUAGGUGACAUGAAUUAUAAAUACAUAAACGGUAGAACACAGGAAAUAUGCCCAUUAUAUUUAGAUUCCAUUUAGGGAGAAUGACUAGAUGCGCCCAGAUACUCACUGCAGUAGCAAGGCGGUCUGCAUAUUCUGACUGUGUCGCGAAAAGCCGCAUCUGAGCAAUGUAGCAAAAACAACCACUUAAAACAUACCUACUUCACCAUUAAGCAAACACUAAUCCAGGAAGGAAAAAAAGAAGAGGGAGGGUAAUCUAUCUAUCAAUAUUAUAUUAGAAGUGUGAAAAGGUCCUAAGAAAUGUUGAUCGAACUUUUUGCCCUUUACUAAAAGACUCUACAAUAGACAAAAUUCUCACUUACUAUAUCCCUAAGUUAAUAAUUAAUUAUCUUUAUAAUACUUAAAAUUAAGGAAUGGUAAAGUAUAUAUGGUAAGAGAAAAAUAUAUAGUAAGAGCUACUAGGAGAAUUAAUAAUUAAGGAAUACAUUAAAAUAUAUAGUAAGAGAAAAACAUAUUUUAAAAGUUAAGGAAUCCGAAAAUAUAUGAUGAGAGUUCUAAGGUUUUUCUCUAUCAACAUAACAAUAAGACAUGUGACAGUUGAUGUCGUAUGAGGCGGUCAAGAUAAUCAUACUUCAGGCAUGCCAAGAUGCAUAAAGCUGCUCAAGGUGAAGGAGUGUAAUUAACGCAACUUCAUUUUUUACCUUUUUUAUAUACAUUUAUUAUAAAUUAACGCAAUACAGUCCAGUCGUGGUAACUAGUUUCAUCUAAUAACACCUAUGACCUAUGUCAACAGAAGAAAGUAAGCUCAUAUGGCAAAGUCUAGAUGAGACAAGCAAUUAGUGCAAACCCUGCUUAUCCACGUCUUGCAACAUACAAGACCAAAAAAAUAAAUUUUGUAAAAGAAAACAUAUCUACACCAUUUUUUACCCCAACUCAUGUACGAUAGGACGAAAACUUACAUAUAAUUUUCAAGAUACACGAUUUCCAAUAGCUCCGUUUGUCGAAUGGAGGAAAUAAAUUCAUUUCUCAGAUAGUUGGAAAGAGGACACAAAAAAAAGAAAGAAAAGAUCACACCGGAGAACAAAGUGCACCUUCAAGAGCCACUACUCUUCCUCGCUGCUGGCUAAUCUGGUCAAUAAGCAACCUAGUCUGACUUGUACAAUGACUUUCUGCUUCAAUCUGUGCCAUUCACAUGAUUUGUACACAUUAUAAGCAAUUAAAAGUUCUUUUCUUCCUUUGUCUUUAUCAGGUAAAUAUAGUUUCUUAAAAGUUCUUUUCUUCUUUCUUUAGCCUACAUCAUUGACACAGGAUGCAGUUGUGUGCUGAGAAGAAAAUGCAAAAGAAGAUUAAGCAAUCUCUUGUUGAGAAGAAAAAAGAGAGGAUAUUCAGAAUGACAUUUGAAUUGUGAACGAUACCUUCAAGUGGAGCAUAUGAAGCUUAUAGAAUGUUAUGUUCAAAAUAGGUGACAUGAAUUAUAAAUACAUAAACGGUAGAACACAGGAAAUAUGCCCAUUAUAUUUAGAUUCCAUUUAGGGAGAAUGACUAGAUGCGCCCAGAUACUCACUGCAGUAGCAAGGCGGUCUGCAUAUUCUGACUGUGUCGCGAAAAGCCGCAUCUGAGCAAUGUAGCAAAAACAACCACUUAAAACAUACCUACUUCACCAUUAAGCAAACACUAAUCCAGGAAGGAAAAAAAGAAGAGGGAGGGUAAUCUAUCUAUCAAUAUUAUAUUAGAAGUGUGAAAAGGUCCUAAGAAAUGUUGAUCGAACUUUUUGCCCUUUACUAAAAGACUCUACAAUAGACAAAAUUCUCACUUACUAUAUCCCUAAGUUAAUAAUUAAUUAUCUUUAUAAUACUUAAAAUUAAGGAAUGGUAAAGUAUAUAUGGUAAGAGAAAAAUAUAUAGUAAGAGCUACUAGGAGAAUUAAUAAUUAAGGAAUACAUUAAAAUAUAUAGUAAGAGAAAAACAUAUUUUAAAAGUUAAGGAAUCCGAAAAUAUAUGAUGAGAGUUCUAAGGUUUUUCUCUAUCAACAUAACAAUAAGACAUGUGACAGUUGAUGUCGUAUGAGGCGGUCAAGAUAAUCAUACUUCAGGCAUGCCAAGAUGCAUAAAGCUGCUCAAGGUGAAGGAGUGUAAUUAACGCAACUUCAUUUUUUACCUUUUUUAUAUACAUUUAUUAUAAAUUAACGCAAUACAGUCCAGUCGUGGUAACUAGUUUCAUCUAAUAACACCUAUGACCUAUGUCAACAGAAGAAAGUAAGCUCAUAUGGCAAAGUCUAGAUGAGACAAGCAAUUAGUGCAAAGAAGGGAUUGUUUGGCUUUCCCUAAGCAAGAGAAGAGAAAGAUUUCUCUUUAUAAUAAUUGCGGUAUCAAGGCUACCUUGACUAAUCCAAUCCAUGGGGUAUAACUUUGUGUCUUUUGCCUCAGUUGGGAUUCCAACGUUGGUUCUUCAAUCGCUAGGCCAGACCCAAAUUCAAUAAAUAAAUAAAUAAAGAAAGAAAAGAAAAGGGUUGCAGGAGCAGCAAUUUCAUUUUAAUUAGAGAAAGAAAAGGAGGAGGAUAGGAUAUGAAUGUAACCCCAACCUGUAUGUAGAUGAAGGCGAGAGCAGCGAGGAGGAGAAGGUACCGUAAAUCAAAGCAACAAUACUUUUUAUUGUUGGAAUUCCCUCUCAUCUCCACUCCUGAUUUCCUUUCCCCAAACAAGGGAUCCCAGAUUGAUCUCCAACAAUCCCACUUCCACUAACUCUACUCUACUAUUUGUAUAUUGCUUUUCUUUCUCUACUCAUGACUUAGGUAAAACAAACGCAAAAUAGACCGACCCUCCUUUUUUUUUUUUUUUCUUUUUAUAUUUUUUAACAAAGAACAUGUACUAUUGAAUUCUUGAAUUUUUCAUCAACAAAGAUAACUUAUCUCGGACUAAUAAUAGUAUCAAUACAUUCGGUGAUAUAAGUUAUUUCAUCCUAUUUUAUCCUUUGAUAAAAUUAUAAAAUAACAAAACCAAUCCUAAUUCAUUUUUUGUUACUUUAUAUAGUGAUACGGAGCAUGAGUUUUAAUGCUUGAAGUUGAAAUGUGUUCUUCAAUUUCAUAAACUGGGGGAUAGUUUUCGUUCAUGAUUAGCCUGAAAGGUGUUGCUGGGUUUCAUUCCUGACCAGUCUGAGAGGGUGUUACUAUAUGCUUAGUUUGGAAAUAUAAAUCAGAAUUUUAAUUGUACCUCGCUAAUAGUUUCAUUCAGAUUAAUCAUAUCGAUUUUAAAAGCUCUCAUAUUAGCCUUUGACAUGUUUCUCUUUUAAACAUUUUAUCUUCCAAUUUAUUUAUCUAUUUCCUAAGUGGGCAUCUUGAGCAGUUAUCUAUCUGAUCCAGUGCAAAAGGCUCACCCAAGAGACUGCUUGAUUUACUUCACUUCCAUAAAUAAAAGCAUCUCUACCUUAUGUCUACUUCACUUCCAUAAAUAAAAGCAUCCUCCACCUUAUGUCUAAUUACGGAGGUUUUCAAAUGUUGUAUUUUGAUUGCUACAUUGCCUUUUUUACUUUAGCUUCUAGUUUUCAAAUAUAUAUUAUUGAAGUGCAAUUUACAGCUUUAACAACCAGUAUUAUUUAGAUAAAUAUGCAUAAAUCUUAUAUAUUGGUACAUAAGUACUGAACACAGAGAAAAAUCACAGCAAUACAAACAUAAAAAUAAUUAAGUUAACUAAAGUGAGGGGUAUUUUUGGAAACAAACAAUAUAUUUUUACAAAAAAUGCACUGCAUUUAUUUUAAAUACCCCAAACCAAACAAUCACUAAAAAAUAAUACUACGAUAACUUAUCCCAGGACAACUAAUUCCAACAUAACUAAUCUCACCAUAACUAAUCCUGGUAUAACUUGUCUUCUACCUCAAGUAAGAAAAAUAUUUCUCUUUAAAUAUAUUUAUUUAUUUUCGUUUUUAUUCUUUCCUCGCAUCUAAUCUUCUUUUCACCACUGUUAAACUAAUUUAAGGAGGAAGAUUCAUGGAUCGGAGCAGGGGCGGAUCUACGAUAGCGGGUGUGGGUUCUCGAGAACUCACACCCGUUAUCGAAAGGUUUAUGUAAUUCUACACCCAUUACCGUAAGGUUUAUAAUUGCAUGAGAAAAAUUAUCAAAAUGUAUAAAUAUUAACAAGUGAAAAUUCAUAAAUAAAUCAAGGGACCACUUAGUGGUAGGAAAGAACCCUCACUUCAGAGGUUCUUAUUUUUUUUAUUUAAUUCUUUUUAGAUCCUACUUUUUCCACAAGUUUAAAAUUUUGGAUCCGCCUCUGAAUCGGAGUCACCAUCGCGACACUCAUCGUUGUACCAGCUUCCCACCAUUUAUGUUGCCGUAAACAACCUCACAAAAUUCAAUUUCAUCACUUUGUAACUUAAAUAAUACAUAUGUUCUCAAAAAUCAAAUGAAAAAAAAGAAGCUAAAAGUCUUAUAUCGAAUUUGAUCAAUGUCCCAUUGAAUUUGAUAGAUUUAUUUUGUCUUUCUUAAUCUCCAAGAAAUAUACGAUAUUUUAAAGCAUCGUGAGUUGAUGAUAAGUUUUAUUCUAUAUUAUGUUUCUAUUUUUAAGUUCUGAUUUUAUUCUAUAUUAUAUGUUAAGAGGUAAUGGAGGUCCUUUUUUGAAGGAAAUGGAGUUUUUCUUUUUGAAGAAGAAGGCCAAUAAUUUUAUUUUAUUUUUGUCUCAAAAGGUUUUUACUUCUUUUUUAUUGAAUUAUUUGUGAGCAAAAAUAAGUUAUCUUUCUCUUAUUGAUGCAUUCUUCAGGUCACCCGCAUGUAAACUUCACGCACUUUAAUUUUUUUAUGAUUUUUUGAAAAAAACUAUUUAAUAAGUGUACUUAACGAAAGGUUCAAUAGGUUUAUGACCCAAUUGAGAUGCCAAUGCUGAGAGAAUCAAAAAAUUCAGUCACCUAUGUUAGAAUUUGGAGCUUAAGAGAAGGAAAAGAAAAAGUUUCUGCAGCAACUUUUCAUUCAUACAUACAUACAUCAUAGAUACAUCUUACAAAAGACUAUACUUAUAGCCACAUAAGUCUUACAAGACACACCUCAUAGUAUCUUACAAGACACACUAUCUCAAAAUAAGGACUACCAUUUAUUUUUUUUAAAUAAACAUAAUAUUAAAAGAAACUAUUAAAUAAAAGACUCUUAGAAAAAUCUCAUAGUCUAACACUCCUCCUUGAGAUUUUUCUUGGAUACUCCCUGUUAGCCCAUAUGUUAUUGGGCCUUUAGUUUAUGGACCUUUAGGUUAUUGGCUAUGUAUAUAUAGCCUACUCUUGCUUUAGUCAGUUUUAUGCUUUUCAGAUUAUAUUGUAAACCUUAGCCUUUCUUCCCUUCAAUAAAGUUCUAUUAACAUGGUAUCAGAGCUAGUUCGAUCCAUGUCCUUUGAUUUGUUGGUUGAAGAUUUUGUAGCAGGCACCUACUGCGCGGAGCCCCGAAUUUUUUUGAGGUGCUGCUGUAUUCGUUUGCUAUUUUCGUUGGGUUUUUUGGUUGGAUUGAUUCGUUGCUGUCUUCGUUUGCUGUCUGGUAUUGUUCGUCUUUCGUUCUUUUGCUUGCUGCCAUUGUUGUUCGUUCGGAAUUGUUCAACCUAGGGUUUUGCAUCUUUUUGUUUUUUGAAUUGUUUGUGUGUUGCUGUGUUUACAAUGACUGGAAAGGAUGAUUCUCUCCAGUCCAUUAGUACUCAAUUAGAUGGUAAGAACUAUGCAUAUUGGAGUUAUGUCAUGAAGAAUUUUCUUCGUGGGAAGAAUAUGUGGGGUUAUAUCACUGGAGUAAAACCAAGACCUAUCGAUGAUAAAACUGAAAAUUUUGAUUUGUUGGUGGACUUAUGGGAAACUAAUAACUCCAAGAUUAUCACUUGGAUCAACAAUUCUGUAACUCAGUCAAUUGGUAUGCAAUUGGCUAAGUAUGACACAGCAAAGGAGGUCUGGGAUCAUUUGGAAAGACUGUACACUCAGUCUAAUUUUGCUAAGCAGUACCAGUUGGAGUAUGAUAUCCGUGCUCUUCAACAGCAUGAUCUCAGUAUUCAAGAUUUUUAUGCUGCCAUGUCGGAUUUGUGGGAUCAAUUGGCACUUACUGAAUCUGCAGAGUUAAAAGGUUUUGGGCCGUACAUUGCUAGACGGGAAGAGCAACGCUUGGUUCAGUUUUUGAUGGCACUACGUUCUGACUUUGAGGGCCUACGUGGAACAAUCCUUCAUCGAUCUCCCCUCCCUACUGUUGAUUCUGUGGUUCAUGAACUGAUUGCAGAGGAGACUCGUAUCAAGUCUCAAGUGGAUAAAGGGUCUAAAGUAACUACUACUCCUGUCGUGUUUGCUGCUUCAACUGAUCAGUCUAGGCCACCACGUACUCAGACUCGACAAUCUCCUAAAGUUGCAUUUGAUGAGUGUGCAUUCUGCAAACAGAAAAAUCAUUGGAAGGCUCAGUGUCCGUUGUUACUUAACAAGGUCAAACAGCCUCAAUCUGGGCAGCAACAGAAAUAUGGGCAGCAAAAGUCUCCGUCACGCUCCUCUGGUGCUCCUCCAUGGUCAUCUCGUCCUCCACAGUUCGCUGCUGCUGCACCAUCUGUAGAUGUUGAGUCUGUUAGCACUAUGCCACCUUCUGCGUUGGAUCCCCAGGUUUUCGAACAGUUCAGACAGUUCUUCGUUUCUAAUCCUACGGCCAUGUCAGCAUCUAUGUCUCAUUCGGGUUCAGUUUCUUCUAGUACCUCAGGUAUUCCUUCCUCCUUGUGGAUAUUGGAUUCUGGUGCGUCUCAUCACAUGUCCCCUCAUUUGUCAUCGUUUGGUUCUUUGUCACCCAUUUCACCAAUCUCUGUUAUGUCCGCGAGUGCUGUACCUAUGUCAGUCGAGGGUGUUGGUUCUGUUACUACCCCUCACAUUGUCCUCUCUGAUGUUUAUUACAUUCCCAAACUUGCUUUAAAUCUUGUUUCGGUCAGUCAGUUGUGUAAGGCUGGUAAUUGGGUGUUUUUUUCUGAUUCUGUUUGUGUUAUACAGGACCAACACACUCAGAGGGUGAUUGGGACCGGCCGUAGGUUGGGGGAACUCUAUGUCUUGGAGAAUCUCAAAGUGUCUGUAGUUGCUGCCUCUAGCAUAGAUUUAUCUUCUUUUCGUUUGAGUCCUUUGUCUUCUCAGUUUUAUCUUUGGCAUUCCAGAUUAGGACAUGUGUCAGUUUCACGUUUACGUUUUUUGGUCUCUAGUGGUGCUUUGGGUCAUGUGAACACUAGUGAUAUUUCAGAUUGUAGUGGUUGUAAACUGGCAAAAUUUUCUGCCUUACCGUUUAAUAAAAGUGUGUCUUAUUCUGUUGCUCCUUUUGAUAUUAUUCAUUCUGAUGUAUGGGGACCAGCGCCAGUAUCCACUAAGGGUGGAUCGACCUAUUAUGUUUCGUUUAUAGAUGACUAUACUCGUUAUACCUGGGUGUAUCUUAUGAAACGCAGAUCUGAUUUCUUUGGCAUUUACAACAACUUUAGAGCCCUUGUUAAAACACAACAUUCGGCUGUGAUAAAGUGUUUCAGGUGUGACUUAGGGGGUGAAUAUACCUCUAAUGACUUCACUCAGUUACUUGCCUCUGAUGGUACCAUACACCAGUCAUCUUGUACCGACACUCCUGAGCAGAACGGUCUGGCAGAAAGAAAACAUCGUCAUAUUGUUGAGACAGCACGCUCUUUACUUUUGUCUGCAGAGGUUCCUAGUAUUUUUUGGGGAGAAGCAGUUCUAACUGCUGUAUAUGUGAUUAAUCGUAUUCCUACUGCAUUGACUUCAGGGAUGUCUCCGUUUGAGAAACUAUAUGGUCACCCGCCGAAUUAUUCUGCAUUACGAGUUUUUGGAUGUACUUGCUUUGUUCUUCGUCCUCAUGUUGAACGAAAUAAGUUAGGGUCAAAAUCAGCUAUAUGUGUGUUUUUGGGGUAUGGUAUUGGACAAAAAGGAUAUCGUUGCUAUGAUCCUGUAAGUCAGAAAUUAUAUGUUUCACGACAUGUCACUUUUUUGGAACAUAUUCCUUUUUAUUCCAUUCCAGCUAAAACCCAUGAUGUGACAAAGUCAGAUAUUCGGCUUAUUGAUCCCUUUGGGAUUGACAUAGAGGUUCCAGUUCCGGAUUCAUCCAUGCCAUCUGGUGUGCCACCUGAUAGUGCUUCAGCCUCGCCUGUGCCUGAGUCUGCUCCUUCGACUGUUGAGACUGGAGACCCACCACCUCUGAGGAGGUCUACUCGACCUUGUAAGUCCACCAAACUGCCAGAUUUUUACUAUUCUACAUAUUCAGCCUCAUUUGCUUCCUUUAUUGCAAACAUACAUCAUUUGUCUGAACCUGAGUCGUAUAGAGAGGCUGUGUCUGAUCCUCUUUGGCAGAAUGCUAUGGCUGAGGAACUUGCUGCUCUUCAUCAUACACAUACAUGGGAUUUGGUUACUCUCCCACCUGGUAAGCAUGCGAUUGGUUGUCGAUGGGUGUAUAAGAUAAAAACAAAAUCUGAUGGGUCUGUUGAGCGAUACAAGGCAAGACUUGUGGCAAAAGGGUAUUCACAACAAUAUGGUAUGGAUUAUGAGGAGACUUUUUCCCCCGUAGCAAAGAUGACGACUGUUCGCACUAUGAUUGCUGUUGCAUCCGUUCGACAGUGGAAGAUAUUUCAGAUGGAUGUCAAGAAUGCUUUUCUGAAUGGUGAUCUCCACGCGGAAGUUUAUAUGACUCCUCCCCCAGGUAUUGACCACCAGCCAGGUGAAGUUUGUCGGCUUCGAAAAGCUUUAUAUGGUCUCAAACAAGCCCCUCGUGCUUGGUUUGAGAAAUUCUCCACUGUUAUUACUUCCCUUGGAUUUGUCCCGAGUAACCAUGAUUCAGCAUUGUUUGUUAGAUGUACAAGUGCAGGGCGAAUUCUAUUGUCCUUAUAUGUAGAUGAUAUGAUUAUUACUGGUGAUGAUCAUAGUGGUAUUGAGUUAUUGAAGCAUGAUUUGGCUCAUCGAUUUGCAAUGAAGGACUUGGGCUUGCUGCGUUAUUUUCUGGGUAUUGAGGUGGCUCAGUCUAAGAAAGGGUAUCUUCUUUCUCAGACUAAGUAUAUAUCUGACUUGUUUACACGGGCGCGUCUUUCUGACAACAGGACUGUAGAUACUCCCCUUGAAACCAAUGCACGUUACUCUCCUAGUGAUGGUGUUCCAUUAUCAGAUCCGAGUCUUUAUCGGACUAUUGUGGGUAGUUUGGUUUAUCUUACGGUUACUCGUCCAGAUAUAGCACAUGCAGUUCAUGUUGUUAGCCAGUUUGUUACUGCUCCUACUUCUGUGCACUGGGGAGCUGUACUUCGUAUUCUAAGGUAUCUUCGUGGCACUCAGUUUCAGAAUCUCUUGUUUCCCUCGACGUCAUCUCUCGAGUUGCGAGCCUAUAGUGAUGCUGAUUGGGAUGGAGAUCGCAAUGAUCGUAAAUCCACCACUGGUUUUUGUGUGUUUCUUGGAGACUCUUUAAUCUCGUGGAAGAGCAAGAAACAAGAUGUUGUCUCUAGAUCUUCCACGGAGGCUGAGUAUCGUGCUAUGGCUGUGACUACAUGUGAGAUUAUUUGGUUACGUUGGCUUCUUGCAGAUAUGGGGGUUCACAUUUCUAUGCCUACUCCCCUGCAUUGUGAUAACAAAAGUGCGGUACAAAUUGCAAAGAAUUCUGUCUUCCAUGAGCGUACGAAGCACAUUGAGAUUGAUUGUCACUUCACCCGUCAUCAUUUACAGCUCGGGACCAUAUCGCUUCCUUUUGUUCCAUCGUCUUUGCAGAUUGCUGACCUUUUUACGAAGGCUCAGUCGGCAUCUCGAUUUCGUUUUUUGUGUGACAAACUCUCAAUGCUUAUUGCUGUUGCAUUGUGAGUUUGAGGGGGGAUGUUAGCCCAUAUGUUAUUGGGCCUUUAGUUUAUGGACCUUUAGGUUAUUGGCUAUGUAUAUAUAGCCUACUCUUGCUUUAGUCAGUUUUAUGCUUUUCAGAUUAUAUUGUAAACCUUAGCCUUUCUUCCCUUCAAUAAAGUUCUAUUAACACUCCCAGCAUAGCCCUUAGAACUUCAAAUUUCCCUUUAGGAAGAGCCUUGGUCAAAAUGUUAGCAAUUUGCUGAUCGCAGCUGCAAUGAACAAUAUUAACAUCGCCAUCCUUCUAUGCUUGCCUGAUAGCGAGAAACUUCACAUUGAUAUGCUUGCUACGACCAUGUUGCAUUGAAUUUUUUGCCAUAAAAAUUGUUGACUUGUUGUCAACCUUAAUGACAGUAGCUUUAAUUUGAUUUUGCUCUAGAUCACGUAGAACUUUUCGUAACCAUGAAGACUGAUUAGAUGCACCAGCAGCAGCGAUGUAUUCUGCUUCUACAAAUGAUUGAGCUACCAUAUCUUGCUUCUUUGAAUUCCAUGAGAAUAUGCUGGAACCAAAUGUAAAAGCAUAUCCAGAAGUGUUUUUCGUAUCAUCAACACUUCCUGCCCAAUCACUGUCUGAAUAACCCAUCAAUUGCCCAUGCUCUUCCCUUUUAAACCAAAUACCAUAAUCAACAGUUUCCUUAAGAUACCUUAAUAUUUGUUUGGAAAUACGAAGAUGAACUUGACUUGAAGAAUGCAUAAACCUUGACAAAAAACGUGUCGCGAACAUGAGAUCAGGUCUUGUUGCUAUCAAAUAUAGCAAACUACCAAUUAGACUUCUGUAAACUGUUGGAUCAGCUCUAUCACCCUUUUCAGACUUCGAGAUCUUUUCAUUGUGAACUAGUGAAGUUGAUAUAGGCUUACACUUAUCCAUCUUGAACUUCUUAAGAAUAUCCCAUGCAGAUUUUCUCUGGGAAAUGAAGAUUCUAUCAGUAGCUUGAUGAAUCUCCAUUCCCAGGAAGUAAUUCAUUUCAUCCAAGUCUGACAUCUCAAACUUGGUCUCCAUUUCUUGCUUGAAUUGAUUCAUCAUAACUUUAUUGCUUUCGAUUAUUAGAAGAUCAUCAAGACAAAGUGAUACCACAAGCACAUCUCCACCUUUAGCCUUCUUUACAUAUAAAGUGGCUUCAGUUUUAAUUCUGUUGAAGUCACAAUGAAUAAGAUGGUCAUCAAUCUUACUGUACCAUGCUCGAGGAGCUUGUUUUAAUCCAUACAAUGCCUUGUGUAAUCUAUAAACUUUAUCCUUCAUUUCUUCACUUGAAAGCCUUCCGGUUGGUCGAUAUAAAUUUUUUCCUACAACGGCUCAUUUAAGAAUGUCGACUUCAUAUGCAUAUGAUACAACUUCCAAUUUGAUCGAGAUGCCAAAGCAAAUAGAAGUCGUAUCGUAUUAUGUCUUGCAACAGGUGCAAAUCUGUUUCCAUAAUCCAGGCCUGGAACUUACGCAUAACCUUUCACAACAAAUCUUGCUUUGUAUUUAUUAACUGAACCAUCUGGAUUAAGUUUGGUUCUAUAAACCUAUUUCACCCCUAUUACAUUUCUGUCUUUGGGUUUAUCAACCAGCUUCCAAGUGUCAUUCUUCUCUAUCAUACCAAUCUCCUCCUUCAUUGUUUCAAUCCAAACUUCAUAUUUUGAUGCUUCUUGAUAGGUAUUGGGUUCCAAAAUUGCAACAUUGUAUCUUUCAUAUAUCUCAGAAAGGGACCUUGUCUUCAAAAUUGGCGAAUCAAGUGAGGAUUCACUAUCUGAUUCAUCAGCUUCUUCCAGAUUUUCAGAGCCAAAUGGUUGUGUUUUAGGAAGUGGAUGCAUGUUCGAAUAACCUGUAUUUUCUUUCUCAACUUGCUCCUUAUCCCAGUUCCAAUAAGCAUGCUCAUCCACUACUACAUCUCUUCUGAUGGAUAUACCUUUUGUUUACAAGUUGAAAACUCUAUAACCUUUGGCUUGCAAUAAAUAACCAAUAAAAGAUCCCUAAUUCACCUCUUGGUUCAAGCUUGCUUCUUCUGACUGAGGGAACAUGAGAAUAGCAUAUCGAACCAAAGACUUUUAAGUGCUUUGGUAGAUGGCCUUUUUACAGUCCAUGCCUCAAUAGGAGUUUUAUCGCCCAUAGCUUUAGUUGGCAGCCUAUUAAACAAAUAAACUGAAGUAGAACCAGCUUCUUCCCAAAAACUUUGUGGUAGUUUCUUUUUAAGCAACAAACAUCUGGCCAUUAUCACUACCAUUCAGUUCUUCUUCUCUGAAACUCUAUUUUGUUUUGGUGAAUAACUUACUGUCAUCUUGUGAUCAAUCCCUACAUCUUCAUAAUACUUAUUGAACUCAUUUGAGGUGUAUUCACCUCCAUUGUCUGACCUCAAAGCUUUCAGCUUGCAAUUACUCUGUCUUUCAGCAAAAGCUUUAAACUUCUUAAAAACUGAAAAUACUUGAGACUUAUUACUCAAAAAAUAAACCCAAUUCAUCCUCGUUGAGUCAUCAAUAAACAACACAAAAUAUUUGUUUUGACCCAAGAAUGAUGUCUUCAUAGGUCCACAUACAUCAGUGUGAACAAGUUCAAGAUUUUCAGUUGCCCUCCGUGUAGAACUUUUAGAAAAUGCUUUCCUGUGAACCUUACCCAUCUGACAUGACCCACAAACUUCUUUAGUGAGAUCUCAAGUAAAUCCUUAGUCAGCCCUUCCCAUACAUAGACCUCAAAGUGACAUAGUUAAAAUGCUCAUAUCUUCUGUGCCAUAACCAUGAAUCGUCCAAUCUUACAAAAUUAGCACUAUCAAACUUUCCAUCAACUGGAAAGAUCCUAUCCAUCAUUUCUACUUUGUCAAUCAAAGCAAAGUAUCAUCAAUAUCAAAAAUCAAAUAAUAUUUUCCCUUAAAAAGUAAGGAGUAACCUUUAGACAUCAUUUGGCCAACACUCAAUAGGUUACAUGCUAAAGAAGGAACAUACAACACAUCAUGUAUACGCUUUGUACCUUGUUUAGUUUGAAAGAAAACUGAACCUUUUCAUGUGCUUCUAAUGUUGCACCAUUUCCCAUCCUAAAUUUAGAUUUAAGUGACUUGUCAAGUGUGUGAAACAUGAGCUCAUUAUAUGACAUGUGACUCAUGCAUUCAAUGUCUAGGAACCAUUUGGAUUGGUUGGUUGUGCUUUCUUUAUGAGUAUCCAUAAACAAGCUUUCUUCCUUUUCUGACUCUUCAGUAAAAUUUGCUGAACUUGUUGUUGUGGUUGAUUCUGCUUGGCCCUGCAAUUCUUCUCAAUAUGACCCAUUUUCUACAUAAUCUGUACUGAAUUGAUGGCUUUCCUUUGAACCAGCAAUCCUUUUCUUGAUGGUUGGUUCUUUUACAGUGGACGCAAGGUGGAAACUUUUCUCUCUAUAAAGAUUUCAUCCAUGGUUUUCUCUUUGCUGUUUUAUCCCCUUUUAUCCUCUUAUUGCCCUUCACAGGUUGCUUGUAUUUGUGCUUUGCUUGAAAUGCCACUUCUUCUACUUCUUCAUCUCUUAUACUUGUCCUUUGUUCUUAGGCUUGCAAUUUGCUGGUAAGCUUAUCAUCGUUUGCUCCACCACCUUUGAAUUUGGAAAAGGUUCACCAAAUAAUCUUAUCUUGUUUAUAAUUUCCAAAAGUUUGGCAGAGUACGGUGACAGAAACAAGAGAAACCAAGAUUUUCUGAAUAGCAACUUAUCUAAUUCCAUAAUACAUAAUGAAAUACUUAUAGCUAUACAACUGUAGGAUAGAGUUCUACCCUAGGAAAGAAUAUAUAUUGUUAUAACUACACAAUCAGUAAUAAAAUUCUAUUCUAGGAAAGAGAAUAUUCUGUCUAUACAAUUAUACUAUUACCCAACACCCCCUCUCAAAUUGAUAUCGGUGAUCACACAGUAGCAAUUUGGAGCUAAGAUAGAUAUGUCAUGCGCGUGUCAUAGCCUUUGUAAACAAAUCGGCAAGUUGAUCAUGAGACGAAAUGUGUUGUAGAGUGAUAAGACGGUCAGCAACUAGUUCCCGAAUAUAAUAACAGUCCACCUCUAUAUGCUUUGUGUUUUCAUGUUGCACAGGAUUUGUGGCUAUUUUAAUCACACUAGUAUUAUCAGCAUGUAACAAUGUAGGAGAUAUAAUAGUAACACUAAGCUCAGAUAAUAGACGUCGUAGCCAAAUAAUUUUCGAACUUGCUAUCGACAUAGACAUUCGUAGAUGAUUUAGAUGUACGAGAUAAUUUCUUACAUUUCCAAGAUAUCAAGGAUGUGCCUAGAAACAUGCACCAACCAGUAACAGAACGCCAAGAAUCGGGACAACCAGCCCAGUCCACAUCAGUAUAUCCCUUAAGAUUUAUCGGAGAAUUUGAAUGGAAGAGAACACCUUGAUCUAUAGAACCACGGACAUACCAAAUGACACGAAGUACUGUAGUAUGUAUACGAUAAGGAUUAGCUACAAACUGACUUAGAACUUGCACCGCAUAUGAGAUGUCCGGCCUUGUCAUAGUGAGAUAAACUAAUGAUCCCACCAACUGCCGAUACAAUGUGGGAUCACUGAAUGGUUCACCAUCAGCCUCUCUAUAUUUCGUAUUAAUCUCCAUUGGGAUGUAUACAACCUUGUCAUCAGUAAGACAAGUCGUAGCAAUAAGAUCACUAGCAUACUUUUGUUGUGUAAGCAUUAUCCCAGUAGGCAAUUAUAGAACCUUAAGCCCAAGAAAGUAUGUCAAUCUUCCCAAGUCCUUCAUCUUAAAUGAGGUGUGCAAGAAUUCUUUUAACUUAGUAAUAUUCUCUUGAUCAUUUCUGGUUAUAAUGAUAUCAUCAACAUAGAUGAGAAGUACUGUGAUACCUACCAGAGAAGUAUGAAGAAACAAGGAAUAAUCUGAAAAACUCUGAGAGAAACCUGCAGUUUGGAUCGUGGAUCAAAAUUUGUCAAACCAAGCUCUGGGAGCCUGUUUUAAGCCAUAAAGAGAUUUUCGAAGACGACAAACUACAUUUGGUCUUGGCAGAACACACCCAGGUGGUGGUUUCAUACACACAACUUCUUCCAGGUCACCGUGAAAAAAUGCAUUUUUCAUAUCCAACUGAUGUAAAGUCCAGCCUUUAAUUGAAGCCAAGGCCAAUAAUGUCUGUACCGUUGUCAUCUUAGCAACAGGUGCAAAAGUCUCCUCAUAAUCUAUCCCAUACUCCUGUUUGUACUCUUGAGCAACCAAUCAAGCUUUAUAGCGAUUAAUUAUACCAUCUGCCUUCAUUUUAAUGGAAUACACCCACUUACUUCCAAUAAGAACUCCAUUCGUUGGUUUAUCAACAAAGUCCCAAGUUGAAUUUUCAUUCAGUGCACAAAGCUUGUCCGACAUUGCCUUUUUCCAGUAGGUUUGUGUAGAAGCCUGGGAGUAAGAUUUAGGAACCUCAAUAGAAUGUAGUGUGGUAUGUAAGGCAUAGGACUUACCAAAUUUCCCUGAAGAGUAGCCAAGUCAUUCGGGAGCAUGGCGAUUUGUUCUACUAGACCGACGUGGAGGAGUAACUGGAUGAGAGGAUCCCUCUUUCUAAGAUGAGAAUGAUAAUGUAGAGUCAAUACCAGAAAGAGAUGAAGGUUGGAGAGCUUCAUUACCAUUGUUCAUAGGUUAUUCUGGAGAUUCAAGCGGAGGAUCAGUACUUGAAGGAGAUAAAGGUUGAAGAUCACCAUUAUCAUAGUCCACAAGUUGUUCCGAAGACUCAAGCCGAGGGCCAGUAGCUACCAUAUCGUCAUCAAACUUGUACAGAAAAGAGAGACACUUUGAAGCAUGUUUAGCAUUGUAUUUGCAAGAAAAUUUUUCCUCAAAGAAAAUAACAUGUCUAGAUAUUCAAAGUUGACAGCAAGAUGCAUCAUAACAGAGAUACCCCUUUUGUGUGUCACUAUAUCCCUCAAAAAUACAUUGUGCUGCCUUUGUCGAAAGCUUUUGUCGUUCAUGUGCUGGAAGAUAUACAAAGCAAACACAACCAAAAACCCACAAGUGAGAAUAAUCAGACCUACGAUGAAAUAAUUUAAAGUACGAUGUCUCAUUUUCAAUGACUGGGAAGUUUGUCUAUUGAUCAAAUAUACAGAAGUAUGUACUGCUUCGGGCCAAAAACUUUUUAGCAUAUUCGACGUACUCAACAAAGUCAAUGUAGUUUCUAAAACAUGUCGAUUCUUUCUUCUUACUACCCCAUUUUGUUUCGGAGUAUGAGGACAAGUGCGUUGCCCAAUAAUUCCUUUGUUUUUUGAAAAAAAUCAACAAGGUUAGUCUUAUUGUACUCUCCUACUAAAUCAGAACGAAAUACUUUUAUAGUGUUAUUAAAUUAUGUACGAACAUACUUAACAAAAUUCAUAAUAAGAGUUAAAACCUCAGAUUUAUUUCUAAUAAAAAACACCCAGCUGUAUCUGGAUACAUGAUCAAUAAAUAACACAAAGUACUUAUAUCCCAUUCUUGACAAAAUUGGAGAAGGACCCCAAACAUCAUUAUGCACUAAAUCAAAUGGAUCUUCAUAAGUGACUUUUUGAACCGACACAAUUCGUACAUGCCAAAAGGAGACUGGAAUGGAUAUGAUGUGCUGCAAGAAGACAUGAUUUAAGCAUGUGAUGAAGCUAAGAAGAAUGAAGAUGACCCAUCCUAUUAUGCCAAAGAGUGAGAAAUUUAUUUGAACGAGUAACAUCCACUGCAAAAACUGAAAGAAAACAAUGAUGCAAGUGACGGUGAACCGACUAUAGUAGAAAUAUUCUCCCAAAUCUACGCCCCGUGGCCAUGGUCAUCCCUGUUUUCAGAUUCUGAACAACACAACCAUUGGGUGAGAAUUUUACAACACAAUUUUGAUAAACUAGUUGACCAACUGAAACCAAAUUAGCCUUCAAAUUUGGAACAUAAAGAACAUUAGAAAGAUUUCCACUAGAACUAAUACUCGACGCGGGUAACGUGUGCCCGUUUGCUGUAUGAAUAACAUGUUUAGAAACACCACUAGACAAUGAUGAGAAUUGGGACAAAUCACCUGUCAGAUGAUUGGAAGCCCUUGAAUCUUGAUGCCAAGCAGAUUUAAUUGAAUUACUUGUACAUGAAGAGGAUGUCGAGAGUGCACUUGAGAUAGCUUCGAGAAGAGCAGCUGUAAUUGUAACACCCCGUACUUAAUUACGUGCAUUAGUCAUUGUUAUAUGUGUUGGAGUAUAUGUAUUGAUCCUAAGUUAGGUAUAUAUGAGUUUAAGUAUGAGUAUUGAUUAUUUUGAGAUGGUUUCAAGUGUGUAGUUUGAUUAUAGGUGUAUAGGAAUCGACUUUAUUUAUACCGGAAUUUUCCCGUCGAUGGUUCCAUACGAAGGUUAUUGAAUAAGCUUUCCAACGAUAUAAAGAUUUCCAAAAACGGAUAAGUUUCGGAUAUAAGCGAGCUCGUUCGAAACUUUAAAACGGUGGCCGGGAUGUGAACAGUAAAAUGUGCAGGAAACUACUGAGGCCUGCCAGUUUUUUGGGUCAACUUUGAACGAUCAUAACUCCCUCAAUAUAAUGAACUGGUUGAGCUACCAUAUAUCAAAAGAAAGAUCUUUGAGUCUUCUUUCCAAUGAAAUUGGUUUCAUCCAAAUCCAACAUCUGAGUAAGGAGUUAUACUCGUUUUACUUCAGCCUCUCAAAACAGAUUUUUAGGGUCAACUUCAAACGAUCAUAACUACUUGUACAGGACGAACUGGGUGGAUUAAUUUAUAUUAAAUGAAAGACCUUUGAAUUAUCUUUCUAACGAUACCAAUUUCACCCAAAUCCGAUAUCGGAGCAAAGAGUUAUGGCCGAUUUACUUUAGCCUAUCAAAACAGUCCACCAUGGACAGAUUCGGAUUUACUUAAAUUUUUAAGGGCAAUAUGGUCAUUUUCCAUCACCUCAUGGACGAAAAUUGGUCAUUAUAUACAUAUACUUAGCCUUAUAUCCACCAUUUAUCAUCCAAAUCAUUGAAGAAUAAGAAACCCUAGCCUAAGUUCAACUCCAAUUAUCUUGUGAUUCAACCGUAGAAAAUCCAAAUUGAUUCCGUAGUUGUGUUCACCGUCUCAAGGGCUUCGAGAAGCACCCCUUAUUUGUGCCAACAGGACUUCGAAAUCAAAAGGGCCAUUUUUUUUGGUAAGGAUGUAAAUUAUGUUGGUGUUAUUUAUAUGGAUAUGUAUAUAUAUAUAUAUAUGCAUGUGAGCAUAAGAAGUAUGUUAUUUGAUUGUUGUUGAAAGAUGAUUGGAAAUGAUGUUGGAUUAUUCUUGUGCAUGGUUGGAUUAUGUUAAAUUGUGAAGGAAUUUGGGGUGAUGAUGUGGUAUUGAUGAUGUGGUAUUGAGAUGAUGAUUAUAUACAUAUACACACAUAAACCUAUUGUUCAAGUUGGUUUUUGGAAUGUUUUGCAAAUAUUGGUAGUAUGGAAUUAUGGAAGAGAAUUGUGGUGUUGGGUUGCUAAUACUAGAUGCCAAACAUUUCAUUGUAGAUAAGUGAUUUGUAAAGGCGGGAAGUUGUGUUGAAUUGGUAUCUGAAUCUACAACGAGGUAUGUAAAGCAUACUCUAACAAUGUUCUUUGGCAUGAAAACACCAAUGUUCCAUCAAGUAAGAUUCCGAGGUUGUCCAAAAACAUGUAUUGUUCUACGUUACCAACGAAGUUGUUUCCAUCCUAUAAAGUGUCAAAAUGUUCAUUGAUAUACCAAAAGGCUCUUAUUUCAUUGUUGUGAUAUUGAUGAUUCUGAAACAUAUUGUUGAUGUACCAAUGAGUCCUUAUUACAUCGUUAUUGUAUAGAAGGUCUAUUACUUGGUUCCUAUUGAUGUAUCAUUGUUUCAAGGUAUCAAAAAUGUGGUGACGACCGAAAUAACAAUCUCAAAGAUUAAUUGAACUAAGUGAUGAAAGUUCUCUCUUAUCGGGUGGUAUCCCAGGGGCAUAAGCCUAGCAUGGGUCGAUCCCUAUUUCAUGUGUUUAUGGGUGGUAUCCCAGGGGCAUAAGCCUAGCAUGGGUCGAUCCCAGUUGAUAUGUACUGGAGGCAUCCUAAUGGUCACAGUACAGUACAGUAAUGAUUACAAAGACGAUAAGAACGAAGGUAAAGUGAUUGAAUAAAUACAAUGUACAGGUUGUCACAAGUUCUAGUAAGUGUGGUCCACUCCUAUUACGACUUAUUCACUUGUUUCUGAUUUCUAUUGAGCUCCUAUAUCAUAUGUGAUUAUUUACAGCUUUACAUACUCAGUACAUAUUUCGUACUGACGUCCCUCACGGGGGACCUGCAUUUCAUGCUGCAGGCACAGGUACCUCAACUCAUACACCGCACAAGUAGGAGCCAGGUCAUACAGCUAUUGUUGGUGAGCUCCAGUUUGCUUCGGAGCUUUCCGAGUCGGUUCCUUAUGUUUUGUUAUUGUACAUGAGUCACGUGUGGGCGGGGGUUUGUCCCGACCCUAGUUAUGUCAUGUAUAUCCUAGAGGCUUUGUAGACAUAAGGAAGGGUAAAGUCAUGGAAGUUUAUAUAGUAACGUUAUAUUUGUAUAUGUGGUGGCCCCGACGGCCAAGUAUUAUAUAUAUAUAUUUGUGCGUGUUGUGCUGAUACAGGUAAUUAGACCUUUCUAUAUGCAACGAAGUGCUGUCCAAUUUUUUUGGUGACAUGUAAGUGAAAGUACAGGUAUUUGAACGGGUUCUCCCGGGCCUUCUCGGCUUCGGGUGCCAGUCCGGCCCGAUGGGAUUUUGGGGCGUGACAGUAAUAGAAUCUCAAAUUAGUUUUUCAAGAUCAUGACCAACAGAGAAGGAACCAGAUGAUGUAGUGACAUUUAUCUAGUAAGCUUGGUGAGUAGUUCGUGAAUGAUUUGGGCGACGAUAACAAUCUGAAAUAUAAUGGCCAGCAAUUUUGCAACAAGCACAAAUGUUUUUCUUCUUAGGACAAUUGGCUGCAAUAUGACCAAAGUCUUGGCAUUCAUAGCAUUGGACACUUCUCUUAGUAUUUCCUGUUGAAGCAACAGUUGUUGAUUUUCCUGCAAGUAAUGCAACGGGAGGUAAUGGUGUAGACUCCAUAGCAGUCUGAGUUCCAAGUCUUGUCUCUUCACGCAAGACGGCUGACAACACAACGUUAAGAGCAGGUGUGACUUCCCUGUUCAACAAACUGCCACGAAUCGGCUCGAAUUCAGGACGGAGUUUCAUUAAGAAUUGCACCACCCUUGUCUUCUUUCGUUCUUCCAACACCUCCUUGAGCCCUGCCUUAAAAAUAUUUUGCCCAAGAAUUUGAUCUUGUUCCAACUAGAGCAACUGCAAGCCAGCAUAAAACGAGCAAACAUUCUUGUCCCCCUGUGUGUAUUCUGCAAUGUUGCGUUCUAAUUCAAACUCUCGUGUAAGGUUGCUUUGUUGGUAGAUUUUAUGGAGAUGGGUCCACAUCUCAUAAGCCAAACUGAAAGGUCUAAGCCCCAAAACAAUAUCAGUAUGUACCGAAUUCGACAUCCAAGCGAUUACCUUCGCAUUAUUCAAUUUCCAAAGAUCCAACUCUUUUGCAUCUGUUGGUGGACGAGCAGAUCCAUCUAACAACCCAAAAAGGCCCUUGCCUUGAAUAAAAAUUCCAAAGUGGAAUUCCCAAAGAUCAAAAUUGGAACCAUCCAAUUUUGUAGAGAGCAAAUCGUGCAAAGAGAAUUGUGAAUCCAUUGAUCGAUUGAUUAUAAAAGAGGGGAAAAUAGAGAGAAGAAAAGGAACUUAAGAAGGUAGCAAAGUACUUGUGCAAAGAAUACAGAAAACACAAAAAAAAAAAAUUAGAUUGUGGCUCUUGAUACCAUGACAGAGAAACAAGAGAAACCAAGAUUUUCUGAAUAGCCACUUAUCUAAUUCCAUAAUACAUAAUGAAAUACUUAUAGCUAUACAACUGUAGGUUAGAGUUUUAUUCUAGGAAAGAAUAUAUAUUGUUAUAACUACGCAAUCAGUAACAAAAUCCUAUUCUAGGAAAGAGAAUAUUCUAUCUAUACAAUUAUACUAUUGCCUAACACAUGGUAUCUCCUUCUUUCAUCCUUAACAUCUCAAAUUCUCUUUUAAGAGUUAAGAGUUUGACAGUUUUCACUCUGUCACUUUCAUCGAACUCCUCUUUUAGCUUCUCCCAUACUUCUUUAGGUGUUUCACAAGUCAUUAUUCUUGUGAAAAUCACAUCUAAAAGUGUUGAAUGAAGACAAGUGAGAGUCUUUGGUUUCUUGGACUUUGUAUCUUCAUAAUUCUUCAUUUGUGCAACGGUUGAAUUUGGUCCCAGUGGAUGGGGGUCAUUUUUACUUUCAACUGUUUCUCAUAGACUAAGAGCUUUGAGAUAAGUCUUCAUCUUUAUCACCCAUAUAUGAUAAUUUUCUCUUGUAAACAUCGGACGGCCUGCACCCAAGAAGCUGUUGGAUCCAUGUUACUAUUGUUCGACUCUCUUUUCUUAGUAGAAUUGAAAAAAACUUAUCUUAAAGUCUUCACAGAUCCCUCAAGAAGAUUGGCUCUUGAUACCACUGUUAGAACUUGGAGCUUAAGAGAAGGAAAAGAAAAAGUUUUAGCAGUAGCUUUUCAUUCAUACAUACAUACAUCUUACAAAAGACUAUACUUAUAAUCACAUAAGUCUUACAAGACACACCUCAUAGUAUCUUACAAGACACACUAUCUCAAAAUAAGGACUACCAUUUAUUUUUUUUAAAUAAACAUAAUAUUAAAAGAAACUAUUAAAUAAAAGACUAUCUUAGAAAAAUCUCAUUUCUAACAGCCUAUAUGUAUUUUGGCUAAAAAGAAACAUCCAUAUACGGUACUUCACUUCUUCCACUUGGCGUAAAAAACUAAAGAAAUUCAAUGGUAUCCUUCGAUCUCUUUUAAUUUUUCAGUCCAUUCUCACUAAGUUAUGACCUAAUUGAGAUGUCAAUACAGAGAAAAUCAAAAAAUUCAGUCCCCUAUAUGUAUUUUGGCUAAAAGGAAACAUCCAUAUACGCUACUUCACUUCUUCCACUUGGCGUAAGAACCUAAAGAAAUUCAAUGAUUUCCUUCUAUUCUCUUUUGAUUGUUCGUCCAUUCUCACAAUUUUGAUUGAACCCUUUUGGAACAACCACUCAAAGCCAAUUAUUCUUCUACAACCACAACCUUUGGACGAGCAAUGAAUGAAUUUUCUUUUACUUUGCUCUCAACUAUGUGACAUAUUAGUCUUAAUAUAUGACAUUUUAUUUUUAAUAUAUGGCAUAUUUUUUUUAAAAUGUGACAUUCUUUUUACGUCAGAUGAUUAACUUUACACGUUUUAUUUAAGAAAUAAAUUUUCAGCUGCUUGUGUCUUACAGGAACAAAAAUUGUAUAUUUUAUUGUUAAAUUGGAACAAGAGUAAGUUUAAGUGUAGUAAUAAAAUUUUUGAAUAAAUUUAAAAGGUAAUAUAUGCGUUUAUGUUAUAAAAUAAAGAUAAAUAUCAAUAUUAAACUUUAAAGAAAUAAGAAAACUUUAAGAAAUUUUAGUAAUACUUUUAUUUUACUACUUUGAUAUGUCAAUAAAAUGUACAGAGGAUGACUAUUUAUAGAUCACCAAAUUUAAUUAUUAAGGUUGUCAAACUUGAUUUCAAGUUGGCAAUUUAGCCAACUAUUUAGGUAUUCAAAUUCAAAUUGAAUAAAUAAUUUUUGAUCUUCAAAUUCAAUUUGACUAUUAACUAUUAUCUCUAGUAAAUGACAUUUCACACGUAUAUAUGUAACAUGACAUCCAUAUUAUAUAAUAGUUUGACUUAAUUUUAAUAAGGAAGAAGAGAGUAUAUUGCAAUUGCCCAUACAACAACGUAAGCUUCACCCCUCAACUUUGCUUUAAAAAUCAAAACCCCACUCAACAUUGAACAAUAAUCAUAUUCCCCCCUUUAUCCUUUGCAUUAUCCAUUUUGCCUUUAUAAUUUUAAUCCUAUAUCUAUUUAAUACCUCUUUAUAUUAUAUUAUAUUAUAUUAUAUUAUAUUAUAUUAUAUUAUAUUAUAUGCAGAGAAUCGGGCCAAUCGUACUGAUCCAACAAUUUGUAAAAUGAUUAUUGCGGGCUUUACUGUCCAACUUUGAGGCUGGUGGGAUAAUUUCCUAGACGAUGAUAAACGCAAGGCUAUUUUUACUGCCACUAAUGAUAAACCAGAAAAAGACAAUUUAGGCCGACCGCUUCGGGCAGGACGAUCAGAUGCUGUCUAUACCCUUAUGCUUACAAUUAUUGAACAUUUUGGAGGUAGAUUUACCAAUCAGUAUGAAAACAUUAGAACUCUUCUUAAUGGUUUAAAAUGCAAACAUUUAGGAGAAUUUAGAUGGUAUAAAGACACCUUUCUUAGUAGGGUUAUGGAUUUACCCGAAAGUAAUUAUGACCAUUGGAAAGUAAAAUUCAUUGAUGGUCCUCCCCCUUUAUUUGCUGAAAGAGUUAGAAAAUCGCUUAGAGGAUCUUAUGGCGAGGUUCAGUAUUCAGGAAAAACUUAUGGUCAGCUUAUUGUAGCUUGUACUCAAGAGGGUUUAGCCCUUUGCAACGAGCUAAAAUUAGCCAGACAGAUUAAGCUUGACAAACUCAGAGAAAAAUCUCAAUUAGGAGAUUUUUGUGAACAAUUUGGUAUGGAUAAAUCUUUAGCAAGAAAAACCUAAAGAUAUUCUAAGCCUGAUAAAUCCUAUAGAAAGAAACGUUCUAGGCAUAGAACCAAAGAAGAACGUGACACAAGAAAAUCCUAUCGUAAGUCUACCAGAUUUACGAAAAAUUGAUCCAAAAGAGAAUUAGCAAAAAUCAAGUGCUAUAGGUGCAACCAAUAUGGUCAUAUAGCUCCAAACUGCAAGUUACAAAAACUCAAGUCCUUAGGACUUUCUAAGGAAGUGCAUGACCAAGUCUAUGGUUUAUUAUAUACCUCUGGUUCGGAAUCUGAUUAUGAUUCUACAUCUGAAAAUAAUUUUGAACUACCUAAUUCUGGUAGUGAACCCGAUCAGGUUAAUAAAUGCAAUGAUUGUGAUAAUGAUACUUAUAAUUGUGACGAAAUGAUGUAUAAACUUCAAGCGCGAUUUGAAGAUCUAGAUUUAAAUAUUCAAACUCUUACUGCUGAUAAUGUCCUUAAAUUGCUGAAGGAAGUUACAGAUGAAAAACUACGUGAAAAAAUCAUUAAUUUUGCUACUCAAAAAACUUCUACUAAUACUGCUAGUAUUUCUAAGGAUAAUUCUUAUGAUAAUAUUUCUAAAGAUAAUUCUUAUGAUAAUUAUCAUAUGUCUUAUUCUUUAGCUGAGGUAAAUCGACGUCUUGCGUUGAGUCAAACUUCAGGUAGAGAUACUACCUUUGAUGAUUUAAAAAUAGAAUUAGAAAAAUUAAAGAAAGAAAUUAGUUCUUUAAAACAAAAAUAGAUGAUCUCCGUCAUAGGGUUUUGAAAAUUGAAGAAAAGAUUCCUGACAUUCCUGAAAAUACUACUUCUUUUACUUCAAAAGGAAAAGAAAAGGAUUUUGAAAACUCUGAAGAUUCUGAAAUAGAUAAACUUAGUCUAAAAGAGGAUUUGAAAAAAGAUUAUUUCUUAGGUAUGAUGCAACUAGUUACUGCUCAUAAAUGGUAUAUAAAUUGCAUUAUUCCGAUUAAUAGGAAAUUUUCUAUCACUAAUAUUGCUAUGAUUAAUAGUGGUGCUAAUGCCAGCUGCAUUCAAAAAGGUUUAAUUCCAACUAGAUAUUUUGAAAAAACUACUCACAUAAUUAAGUUUGCAUCUGGUCAUAGUCUUGACAUCAACUAUAAAUUGCCAUAUACUCAUAUAUGUCGAAAUAAAGUCUACAUUCCACAUUUCUUCUUUUUGGUAAAAAAAACUAAUUAUAUCCUCCUAUUAUUUUAGGAACACCUUUUAUAAAUGCUAUUUAUCCUUAUACACAUAUCGAUGCAAAUGGUUUUAAGGCUACCUAUAAAAAUAAACAAAUCUCUUAUAAUUUUGUUACUAAUCCUGUAACAAGAGAUAUAAAUGCUCUUAUUAGUAUGAAGUAAAAGUAGAUCAAUUUCUUAUAAUUAGAAAUGAUGAGUACUAAUAUUCUUGAUACUUUAAAUUCAGUAAAGGUCCAAGAAAAAAUAAAAAUAAUUUUUAAUCAUUUGAUUGUUGAUAUUUGUGUGGAUCACCUAAAUGCUUUCUGGAACCGAAAGAAGCAUAUUGUUUCUCUUCCUCAUGAAGAUGGUUUAAGUGAAGAAAAAAUUCCCACAAAAUCUCGACCCUGUAAAAUGAAUACAACGUUAGUAGAAUUCUGUAAAAAAAAGAUUGAUAGUCUUUUACAAAAGGAUCUUAUAAAACCUUCAAAGUCCCCUUGGUCUUGUACUGUCUUUUAUGUCAAUAAUGCUGCUGAAAAAGAACGGGGUAUGCCUCGACUAGUCAUCAAUUAUAAACCACUGGAUAAAGUUUUAAAAUGGAUUAGGUAUCCUAUACCGAAUAAAAAAGACUUACUUUAUAGAUUAUAUGAUGAUAAUAUAUUUUCUAAAUUUGAUUUAAAAUCUGGUUAUUGGCAAAUUCAAAUUGAUAAAGAACAUACUUAUAGAACUAUUUUUAAUGUCCCCUUUGGACAAUAUGAAUGGAAUGGUAUGCCAUUCGGUUUAAAAAAUGCUCCUUCUGAAUUUCAAAAAAUUAUGAAUGACAUUUUCAAUCCCUAUAUGGAUUUUAUCAUUGUCUAUAUUGAUGAUAUUUUAGUAUUUUCGAAAACCCUUGAAUCACAUUUUAAACAUCUGAAUAUGUUUAAACAAAUUGUUUUACAGGAUGGUUUGGUCAUCUCCAAAUCAAAAAUAAGUUUAUUCCAGACAAAUAUUAGAUUUUUAGGACACAACAUUUGUCAAGGUACUAUUGAGCCUAUACAAAGAGCUUUAGAAUUUGCUAAAAAAAUUAUGUGAUAUUAUUACUGAUAAAAAACAGCUGCAAAGAUUCCUUGGUAGUCUUAAUUAUAUUUCUCUUUUUUAUAAAAAUCUGUCUUGAUAUUUAGUUCCUCUGUAUGAUAGACUAAAAAUGGAUUACAAAAUGCCUCAAACUCAAGUCCACACUGAUUUGGUAAAAUUAAUUAAAAAAUGAGUUCAAUCUCUUCCUUGUACAACUCUUGCAAACCCUAAUUGGUUAAAAAUUGUUGAAACCGAUGCUUCGAAUAUUGGGUAUGGCGGAAUACUUAAACAUGUUAAUCCCCAUACAAAAACAAAAUGUUUGAUUAGAUUUUAUUCUGGUAAAUGGACCGAAAGCCAGAAAAAACAUGUCACAGUAGCUCAUGAAAUGUUAACUAUUGUAAAAUAUGUUUUAAAAUUUCAAGAUGAUUUGUAUGACCAGAAAUUCAUAAUCAGAACUGAUGCUCAAUCCUUUAAAUAUAUGUUUGACAAAGACUUCAAACAUGAUACGUCUAAACUAAUCUUUGCCAGAUGGCAGACUCAAUUAGCCCGUUUUGAUUUUGAAAUUCAGUAUAAAAAGGGAAGUGGAAAUUCUUUGCCAGAUUUUCUCUCUAGAGAGUAUUUAAAAGAUCAAUGAAUUUUUAUACUUACUAUCUCUCUGACAAGGUAGUCAUCUCUAUUAUUAAAUGUCUUCCUUUAAAUGAAGAUCUUCAUUAUCUUAUAUUAGAAACUUUGAUUCGUAAAAUAAUUGAAGAAGAGUUUAUCUCUACUCACGAUGAAUUCGUUGUCGAUAAUAUCUAUUAGUUUGAUAUUGAUUUAAGUGAAUAAUCUUUGUAGGAUCAUCCAAAAAAUUCAAUAAUGAAGCUCUUCCUUCAUUUCUUCUCUCACAAAUUUUUAAUCGCUUUCAUAAAAGCAACCCCCCUGAAUGCUGACAUGCAUAUGCUUAUUCUACGAAAAGUCAUUACUAGUUUCAUUACAAAACAUACACUCUAUGAAGAUAUAUCUGAAUAUUUGGACUGGUAUGUGGAUGAAUGGAAGGAAUUUGACAGAUUCGACUUUAUUUCUGAUGCAGAAUGGAUCCUACUUGGCAAAUAGCCAAAGGAAGAGGAAGGGGUGGAAGAAGUCAAAACUCCUCAUAUCAAGGAGGAAGAACAAACCCUUUAUAUUUUGAUCGAAGAAAUUUUGCAUAUAGCUCUGCAAGUUCUAAUUUUCCUGUAUUGCAACAAAGAAAUAGGACUUUAAUUAAUUCAAAAAUUCUUCAAGAUGAAUCAUCAUCAUCAAAAACUCUGAAUAUUGGUUCUUCUGUACAUUUGAAAGAUAUUCUUGAAGACCAUCCGUUAUAUAAACAAAUGCAAUCCUAUAUAUCGGAUCAAUAAAAAAUUGCAGAUUCUUUUACAUCUAUAGUUCAAGAAAAUUCUGAAAAUAACCUGCAUAUGGAAAAUUGGAUGCUAAAGAACUUAUAUUAUAUAUUGAAAAUCAACAUAUUCCUGGUCAAGAAAAUACUGAAGAUGCAUGGUGAAUACUCAGAAAUUAUCUCACUGCCAAAGUUUAUUUCACUGGUGAAUCAUAUAAAACCCGGACUUAUUAUGAACAUAUAUUAGUUCAAACAUUCAAAUAUUAUAUUAUAUUUUAUUAUAUUAUAUAUAUAAUAGUUUUUAUCCUAAAUAUUUAUAACAUUUUAUUUAAUUUUAUUAAUAUUAAAAAUAAAAUAAUACUUUUUAUAAAUUUGUCACAAAAUCUAAUGUCAUUUUUUAAGAUCAUUAUUUUAAUAUUAUAUGUAUUAAAGAGUCGUUCGGUAUGAGGUAUAAUUAUAAUUAUAAUAAUUUGGCGAUAAAAAUUCAUGAUUAUUUAGUUAGAGGCAUUAGUUAGUCUCGAAAUUAUUUAUCUCACUAUUUAUACCACAUUAAUGGAAUAAGUUAUCACAUAUACAUGCUAAUACAAUUUAUUUUGGGAUAACUAUUCCCGAAAUAACUUGUUCCCAAUCAAGUCCCCCUAAGUGUGUAUAUAUGUGCAUACAUGCAUGUGCGUAUAUAUUUGUAUUUCACCAAUAUCUUACUACAUUCGUUUCAUAUUAUUUAACUUUUGUUCAGUGGCGGACCCAGGAUUUAAGGAUUGUAGGUGCUUAAAAAAUUAAAAAGUUAAAAAAUAAUAAUAAAUCACCUCAACAAGGUUCGAACCUGGGACGUCCCUUUAGUGGAGAAGCUUAAGAUCAACUUAAAUGCCAGUGCACCCAACCAAAUUUUAUUUUAGUGGGUGCAUUUAUAUGUUUUAUACCUAUUUUCAUAUAUUUUUUUAUGUAAUUAUACCUAUUCCGCGUCGAGUUUACUGGGUGUCGGAGCACACGCAAAAACUAGGGGCAUACAUAGGUCGGGUUGGUUCGAUUUUUAUUUAAAAUAAAUAAAUAAAUCAUGUCGGUUUAUUAAAACUAUAAAUCAAAUCAAACCAACAUAAAAUUAUUUUUUUCGAUUUAGGUUUUAGUUGGUUUUUUCGGAGUUUUUUUUUCAUUUUUUUAUAAUCUUUAGUUUUUACAAUUAUCUUGUGAUCGAAAACUAGAUCAAAUAUGUUUUCACUCAUGUGCUAANNNNNNNNNNNNNNNNNNNNNNNNNNNNNNNNNNNNNNNNNNNNNNNNNNNNNNNNNNNNNNNNNNNNNNNNNNNNNNNNNNNNNNNNNNNNNNNNNNNNNNNNNNNNNNNNNNNNNNNNNNNNNNNNNNNNNNNNNNNNNNNNNNNNNNNNNNNNNNNNNNNNNNNNNNNNNNNNNNNNNNNNNNNNNNNNNNNNNNNNNNNNNNNNNNNNNNNNNNNNNNNNNNNNNNNNNNNNNNNNNNNNNNNNNNNNNNNNNNNNNNNNNNNNNNNNNNNNNNNNNNNNNNNNNNNNNNNNNNNNNNNNNNNNNNNNNNNNNNNNNNNNNNNNNNNNNNNNNNNNNNNNNNNNNNNNNNNNNNNNNNNNNNNNNNNNNNNNNNNNNNNNNNNNNNNNNNNNNNNNNNNNNNNNNNNNNNNNNNNNNNNNNNNNNNNNNNNNNNNNNNNNNNNNNNNNNNNNNNNNNNNNNNNNNNNNNNNNNNNNNNNNNNNNNNNNNNNNNNNNNNNNNNNNNNNNNNNNNNNNNNNNNNNNNNNNNNNNNNNNNNNNNNNNNNNNNNNNNNNNNNNNNNNNNNNNNNNNNNNNNNNNNNNNNNNNNNNNNNNNNNNNNNNNNNNNNNNNNNNNNNNNNNNNNNNNNNNNNNNNNNNNNNNNNNNNNNNNNNNNNNNNNNNNNNNNNNNNNNNNNNNNNNNNNNNNNNNNNNNNNNNNNNNNNNNNNNNNNNNNNNNNNNNNNNNNNNNNNNNNNNNNNNNNNNNNNNNNNNNNNNNNNNNNNNNNNNNNNNNNNNNNNNNNNNNNNNNNNNNNNNNNNNNNNNNNNNNNNNNNNNNNNNNNNNNNNNNNNNNNNNNNNNNNNNNNNNNNNNNNNNNNNNNNNNNNNNNNNNNNNNNNNNNNNNNNNNNNNNNNNNNNNNNNNNNNNNNNNNNNNNNNNNNNNNNNNNNNNNNNNNNNNNNNNNNNNNNNNNNNNNNNNNNNNNNNNNNNNNNNNNNNNNNNNNNNNNNNNNNNUUUGUGGGGGUAUGAACAAGGGGUCUUUCUGUGUUUUUGGUAUAAGUGGUUUUUCAAAUAUCUUAUUCAUGUUAUGUUCAGAUAUCUUUGUCCACUAACUCUUUUGAUUGUGCCUGGAAUUGUAGAUUGAUAAAUGUUAUGGAUUUUAUGGAGUGUCUCAACAUCUCCUUUUAGUUCUGGAAUUUUAAUGUCUUCUGAUUGACUUAGCUCUGCACACUGGUGAGUUAUCUGGUUCAUAUCUUUAGAUUUCAGUUUAACUUCAUUAGUCUUUAGCUUUUCUAUUUCAUUACCCAUACUGUCCACUUUCAUUGAAAGCGUAGUUAGGGUUUUUAGUAUCUUUUCUAAAGCAUCAUCUUCUAUUAUAUCAGUCCGUAUAGCUUUGUCUUGAUAUGUAAUCUACAAUGACAUUCUUGUUAGUUUUGAUUACUUUAACUGUAAAUGUAAAAUUUAAUAUAUUUAAUACUAGUCUCCGAAUCUCUUUCGUUGUAGUUAACUUUUCUAUUUCGGUACCCAUACUGUCCACUUUCAUUAAAAGCGUAGUUACGGUUUUGAGUAUCUUUUCUAAAGCAUCAUCUUCUAUUAUAUCAGUCUGUGUAGCUUUGUUUUGAUAUAUAAUCUGCAAUGACAUUUUUGUUAGUACUAAUUACUUCAAUUGUAAAUGUAAAAUUUAAUAUAUUCAAUACUAGUCUCCGAAUCUCUUUUGUUGUAACUGAAUUUUGUAUUUUCUUUGUUAACCAACAACGUGCCUGUGUAUUAUAUGUUCGUACAAUAAACUUGUUAUAUACAAUAUAUGACUCAAAUGCUAAUAAGCAUUUAUAUAAUAAACAUAAUUCUUUUUUAUUUGUUUUCCAUUUUAUUUCUAUUUCAUUAAACGUACCUGAGUAGUAUCUAUAAUGAUGUUCUAAUUUUUCUUCUUCAUAUCUAUGUUUAAGUACUCUUCCAUAACUAUACUCACUUGCAUCUACUUCCACUAUAUAUGUAAAUUUUUUAUUUUCGUCUGAAAAUUGUAAUUUUGAUAAUUUUUUACAAAGUCUUUUUAUUCUCUAAACUUGUUUUUUAUCUUCUUCGUUGUAAUUGUAUUCUACAUUCUUUUUUAAUUUUUUCUGUAAUGGCUUUAGAUUUUCUGCUAAUUUUGGUAUAUAUUCCCUUACUUGGUUUACUAAUCCUAAAAAUGAUUGUAAUUUCUUUUUUGUAUCUGAUUCUUCUUUUGAAUUUAUUAUUUUUAUGAAAAACAAGAAGUAAUUAAUAAAGAAAACUUAGAAAAUACAAACACAGAAAUAAAUACUCUUAAUAAAGAAGACGAUGAAAACAUAAUACCUAGUACAUCAGAACUAAGAAAACCUGAUGCCCUUUCUAUAUAUUUUGGUGUAUUUGUUGUAUCUAUAUUAUUAUCUAAUAAUUAUUUUGACAUGUAUCCUACCCCAUAGUUGUACAAAAAAGAAAUUACAAUCAUUUUUUGUAUCUAAUUCUUCUGGGCAGGAUUUGUAAUUUCUUUUUUGUAUCUAAUCCUAAAAGAAAUUACAAUCAUUUUUAGGAUUAGUAAAAAAAAAAAAAAUUACUAAUAAUUGUAAUUUUUGUAUCUAGUUCUUUUUACUAAUUUCUAAUUCUUAAACCAAGUAAGGGAAUAUAUACCAAAAUUAGCAGAAAACCUAAAGCCAUUACAGAAAAAAUUUAAAAAGGAUGUAGAAUACAAUUACAACGAAGAAGAUAAAAAACAAGUUCAGAGAAUAAAAAUACUUUGUAAAGAAUUACCAAAAUUACAAUUUCCAGACGAAAAUAAAAAAUUUACAUAUAUAGUGGAAGUAGAUGCAAGUGAGUAUAGUUAUGGAAGAGUACUUAAACAUAGAUAUGAAGAAGAAAAAUUAGAACAUCAUUGCAGAUACCACUCAGGUACGUUUAAUGAAACAAAAAUAAAAUGAGAAAUAAAUAGAAAAGAAUUAUGUUCAUUAUAUAAAUGUUUAUUAGCAUUUGAGUCAUAUAUUGUAUAUAACAAGUUUAUUGUACGAACAUAUAAUACNNNNNNNNNNNNNNNNNNNNNNNNNNNNNNNNNNNNNNNNNNNNNNNNNNNNNNNNNNNNNNNNNNNNNNNNNNNNNNNNNNNNNNNNNNNNNNNNNNNNNNNNNNNNNNNNNNNNNNNNNNNNNNNNNNNNNNNNNNNNNNNNNNNNNNNNNNNNNNNNNNNNNNNNNNNNNNNNNNNNNNNNNNNNNNNNNNNNNNNNNNNNNNNNNNNNNNNNNNNNNNNNNNNNNNNNNNNNNNNNNNNNNNNNNNNNNNNNNNNNNNNNNNNNNNNNNNNNNNNNNNNNNNNNNNNNNNNNNNNNNNNNNNNNNNNNNNNNNNNNNNNNNNNNNNNNNNNNNNNNNNNNNNNNNNNNNNNNNNNNNNNNNNNNNNNNNNNNNNNNNNNNNNNNNNNNNNNNNNNNNNNNNNNNNNNNNNNNNNNNNNNNNNNNNNNNNNNNNNNNNNNNNNNNNNNNNNNNNNNNNNNNNNNNNNNNNNNNNNNNNNNNNNNNNNNNGAAUUAGCUAACUCAGCAGUGUCAAUCGGAAGACAUCAAAAUUUCAGAGCUAAAAGGAGAUGUUGGGACACUCCAUAAAACCUAUAACAUUUAUCAAUUUACAAUUGCAGCUACAAGCAAAUGAGUUAGUGGACAAAGAUAUCAGAACAUAACAUGAAUAAGAUAUUUGAAAAAUCAUUUAUACCAAAAACACAAAAAGACCCCCUGUUCAUAUCCCCACAAACUACCACAUACCGAGAAAGUUUAAACCAAGAUAGAAAAGCCUAUAACCACAUAACCCGAGCAUACAUAGAAAAUAUCCACAAAUACAGACUUAUCCAAACCUUAAACCCAGAGCCACAGAUAUCCAAGAACCAAACACAAACUAUAUAACCCAAAGAUUACAAGGUUACAACAAGUUAAUCGCACUACCGAAAACCAACCCUAACUUAGUUAAAACUUGUUUCAGUUAUGAAUUAUUAAAUACCGUAUACACCCAUAAAGGAAAUGAACUAACAGAUAUACCAGAAUUAUAUAGAGCAUUCACCACUUAUAAAAGAAUAACCAAAGGGAAUCUAUUUUUUAUAAAGUUUUAUACUGCACCAGCAGAGAUAUUAUAUGACGAGAUCAAACCAGUUAUACAAAUUGUAAAAAUAGGAUUAACCAGAGAUAUGAUUAUACCGGAAGAUAUUGUUCAACAGCCAGAGAUACCUAAAAUUGAGAUACCUAAUUUUUAUGCAAAUAAAUGGCUUAUUGGAAUAUCUACAAUUAUUCAAGAAUUAGCAAAUAAUUAUAUCAAUGAAAACCCUCUAUGGAGCUAUCAUUCAAGAGAUCAUCAAAUGAUUUAUUCAAAUUCAAGGGAGCUACGACAGUCAGAUAUGGAAGAAGCUAAACAAUGGAUUCUGACAUUACUCAAUCCAGAAAAACAAUCAACUGCAAGAGCAAUUAGGAAGGGAUUUAUUUCAGAAGAAUUAUUAAUAAGGUAUUGCAAGAUAAUUGGACACAAAUAUCCAAACCAUUUAUGUUCGAGAUGUAAUGGAGAAGAUAAUAUUAUCCCAGAAGUUCAACUGGAAUAGAAGAAGAUAAGGACGACAGCUGGAGAUACACAACAAAGGAUAAGAAGACACGGAGCAAUAAUAGAAAGAUGGGAAGACAAAAACAUUAAAGUAAAGAAAGCGACAUAUGGAAGAUUAAAUAACUUUUCUUGACUUAUUUACGUAAGUUAUUGUAUAGAAAACCAUUAUUAGCCAUGACUUUUUAGGACCUAUUAUAUAGGUUUUUUGACUUUUAAUAUGUAUAGUAUUAUUAGUUCUUGUCAUUUUUAGGAUAAGUAAAUUAUUACUUUAGGAUACAUGUAAAGUAGAAAAUAGUUUACGUGUUUUCUUUUUAGGCUAUAAAUAUUUCAGCCAUUCAGCAAGAUAAAGACAAUACUUCAUGAGUUGAAGCAAGUCUCCUCUUGUACACAAACAACUUUUGAAUAUUAAAUAAAAACAAGUAUAUUUCAAAAGAAAAACUAUGGAUGAACAAAGUCCAGAAUUAUCAAACCUACCAGAACAGGUAUUUUCAUUUAUGAUUAUGAAUAGCUAAAUUAAUAAAUUCCUAACAAUUAUAAUAUGAUAAAAUAAGUUCAUAUUAGUUACUAUAUAGUAGAAUUAUUCGAAGAAUAAUAUGUUACAAAGUUUAUUGGCAAAGAGGAAAAUGAGAAAAAUUCCUAAGAACUAUGCCAUCCUAAAAGUGAAACCGGUGAGGCAAGAAAGUCGUGAUAGGGGAGUAACUAGUGUAGAGGCGUUGUUUAAGGGAAAAGUAUCCAGAUUACCAUACUAAUAGUGACAGAGUAACAUAAUUAUUUAAGAAUAAUCUAGUACAUGGUAAUCUAAGAUGAUCAUAUUUUGUUAUGUAUAUGAUUGAAAGGAAUAUUUUGAAAUAGCAUCAUAUGAAAAAGAAUGCCUACCUACUUAUCCGAUGAAAUGGUAGAUAAAUUUAAAAUACUUGUUUUGUAUGUACUUAAGGAUAUAGAAAUUGUAGAUAUAAGAAAAAUCAUAUGGGAAAAAAUAUUUGACAAAUAUUUUUGGACUAGAAUAAAUUACAUACCACACCUACCUAACUACUCUUACAAAUACCUACAUACCAAAUCUACACAUCAACCACGAUAAAUUACGUAUAUUUAGAAUAUUGAAAAAUGGAUAUGAAAAAUAUACAAACUAAUGAAAACAAAUUCAGAAAAAUAUAUGAGAACUGAAGAUAUAAAAUAUAUAGAAUUCCUUACUGAAAACAUACAAGAAUUAUUAAGAUUAAAACAAACAACUAGUAAAUAUUAUGAUAAAGCAUUUAAUAACCCAUAAAACCUAAGCAUCAUAUGAACAAUAUGGCAAGCUAUAUAUCUGAUGAAAUUAAGAUACUUGUUUUAUAUAGCAUUAAAGACUUAGAAAUAGAAGAUAUAAAGAAAAUAAUAUGGGAAAAAAUAUUUAAUGAAGAAUCAUUAAGUCUAGAAUGGUUAAAAGAUAUGCGUGAUCGUAACUUAUGUUAUUCAGAUAGUUAUUACUCAGACAAUAAUAGUUAUUAUUCAGAUGGAUAUUAUACAGAUUAAAAAUGUUAGAAUAUAUUAAAAGAGUUAGAGAAAAACAAAGUUGGCUAUACGAAAAAAUUAAUUAUAGAAACCAACUUAGAAGAGGAAGAGAACAAUUAAAAGAGAGAUUAAUUUCGAUAAAUAAAACCAUGAAACAACUAGAAUUAAAAGACAGUUUAGAAUAUGAUUUAGACAUAGAAUUAUUCAAAGAAGAAAAAGACAGGAUAAUUAACGAAAUAGAUAACCUAGAAUUUAAUAUCAGAUAUAAUACAAUUAGAAUAAAUUAUUACAAAGAAAAUUGCAGUAUUACAACUAUUUUAGGAUAAAAUGAUAAACUAUGAAUAUUUAAAAUAUUGGAGACAAGAUUUGGAAGAAAUAAGAUUAACAGAAGUACUUAUGGAAGAGAAUUUAAUUGAAUAUUUUAGAACAAAUGAUAUAGAAUAGUUAGAAUACCUUCAAAAUAAUAUACAAAAACUACAAAGACUAAGAGAAAAAACUAAAGAAUAUUACAAUAAAGCUUUUAAUCAAAUAUCAUCUAAUCACCCCCCAAGAUGUAAACAUCAAUAAAAAUUAAAAUUAAAAUAGAAAUGUUUAGAGAAGUUAAGAAAUAUCCACGCACAAAUAAAAAUAGAUCCAUUAGAGUUAUAAUAGAUCUAUUUAAGUUAUCUGAGUUAUUCGCACCCUCUACAUUUGCGCAUCUCCAACUUAAAUAUGGUAUUACCAAAAAUCGUACCGAACCAAAGUUUAAUUUACCAAUUACCGAACCGAUAUUUUAUAAGUAUAGUAUGUGGUAUCUACAUUCAAAUAUUGAUUAUUCAAUUACCAAAUUCAAAAUUUGAAAAUACCGCACCGAUUACCGAACGACCACCCCUACUAUCAACAAUAGAGUCUAUUUUAAUUUAUGUGAGACAGUUUAAUUAGAAACAAAAUUUAGAGUUUAUGUGAUAUUGAAUAUUAGUAGGUGCUUGAUCAUGAAAAUAAAAAAAAAUAUUAUUCUAAUAAAUUAACUUUCAAAAAGAAAAAAAUUAUGUAGCUGUUUGAUCAUGAAAAUUAUUUUUAUUUUUUUCAAAAAAAUAUUUUAUUUUACUUUAAUAAAAAGGUGAAAACAAGGUGUAUUGGACUAUGAAAAUUUCAAAUACACUUCUUGAAUUGUAUUUAGAAAAAUGAAAACAAGUUUUACUUGUUUUUUAUACAUACACACACAUAUAAUUUCUCUAUACAUAAUUUAUACUUAUAAAGCAAUAUACUAAACUUUUAGAUUUGAUUGUAUAAGAUAAGACUAUAUACAAUAGAUUUUUGUAGCUUCGACCUUUCUUAAACUUUAUGUAUAGCGAAAGUUUGAGUACAUCAAACCGUCUAUAUCUUUAGACCUUAAUAUACAACAAUCUAUAUCUUUAGACCUUAAUAUACAACAAUCUUAUAUGGUGCCUAAAUAUUUUGUCCCUAACUCUCCAAAAGCCCAAACCAUUAGGUUACUUUUCCUGAAAACCCUAAUUAUCUACUCUUGUUGAAAUCUACAACUCUUUAUUGGACUCUCUGCCAUUUCUGAAAGGUAAAAUCUUUUGGCCAUAAUUUGGCCAUAAUAGCUCAAAUUUGAUAAUAAAAUCUAUUCACAUUGUAAACAUGUUCACAUUUUUACAUUCUUAUCCUUUUCUCCCAAUUUUAUAUUUUCUUUCUUCAUUUAUUCUUCUAGCUAUUUCCAACACUUGGGGAUUGAACAUCUAACUUGUUUACUUAUUUUUUUGUUGAUUUUGCAUUUCAAAAUAAUAUCUAUACAAACAAAGAAGAAAAACGUUAAGAUAUUUCAUUUAUUUGAAUAAUUUUUUAAAUUUAAAAUAAUAUUAAACUUAAAAAUAAUUUUAAAAUUGCUGGAUAUUUUUAGAAUGAUAUAUAAAUGACUGAAUGAUAAUUUAAAAAUAGUUAUAAACAAUUUUAUUUGACUUUGGUGGACAGUUAUUCCAUCUGGCCACAUUUUUAGAAUGAGAAAAAUAAAAUUACUUAAAAUUAUGUAAUUAGACAAGACAACAACAACAACAACAUACCAGUGUAUUCCCACCUAGUGGGGUCUAGGGAGGGUAGAGUGUAUGCAGACCAUACCACUACCUCAAGAGAAGUAGAGAGGUUGUUUCCAAUACCACUACCUCAAGAGAAGUAGAGAGGUUGUUUCCAAUAGACUCCCGGCUUAGGACCAAUAACAGUAUAACCAAUACAAAAAGUAAGCGCAUAUAAAUUAUGUAAUUAGACAAGACAAAGUAUUAAAAUUAUGUAAUUAGACAAGAUAAAUUAUUAAAAUUUCUAAUAAUAUAAAUUCACUUCAAGAAUUUAUUUCUCUGAGUUUUUAGCUAUUUAAAAUCUUGUUGUGUAUUUUUUUCAAAAAUUUUAAUUUAAAGGAUCGAGAAUGUAGUAAAUUCAACAACGUCAGGAAUGUUUCUUCAAUUAAAUUAAAAGAGAUAUCUAUAGAACAUGCCUACUAAAAAAUUUCAUAUUUUUCUAUAGGUAAUUGUUUUUAUUCUUGUAAUAUAGAACUUAAUACGUUUACUUUGAUUCAAUAAUUUGCUAAUCAUUAUAUAUAUUUGCCAUUAAUAUAACUUCUAAUAAGUAAUUUUACCAAUUAUUGAGUUUAAAUAAAUUUUAAAAAACUCUAGUUAACAUUAACUCAGGAGAGUCACACAUUGAUGUUACAGUCUUGAACCCAUAUGUUACAUUGAUUUAAAAAAUUAUGAAUCAUUACUUAUGAUUGUUAUUAUAUAUAACCUCUAUUUAAAUAAUUUUAUUAAAUAUUAUAUUUAAAUAAAUUAAAAAUAGUUUUUAAAAUUUAUUGUGUAAACAAUUCAAUAACAACAGAUAAAAUUCAAAACAUUUUAGACAUUAACAAACUAUAAAAAUCAUAAAAUUAUAUAUAGUUCAUUUGUGUCGAUCCUAGUUAACAGAAACAAAAGAGAGUCCAACAUUAAUGUGGUAGACUUGUAUUCCUAUGUCACGUCGAUUUGAUCCUGUAAAUCAUUAUUUAAUAUGACCUAUAAUUAAGUAAUUAAAUUAAUUAAUAUAUUUAUACAAAUUUAAAUUUCAUAUUUAAAUAAUCUUUAAUCUAAUUUGAAAAUAUUUCAAUAACAACACAAAAACUCAAAACACUUUAGACAUGAUAAAUAUUGACACAUUAUAGUAAACAAUAAAAACACAUAAUCUGUAAGUGUCAACCUAGUCAACAUCAAUCUAAGAGAGUCAUAUGAUGUUGUAACAAGUUGUCUAGUCCGAUUUAAUAACUUGUGAAUCGUUACUUACAUUGUUAUUAAUAUGAUCUUUAAUUAAGUAUUUUAUUAAUUGUUAUUAAUAGCUUUAGAUAAUUUUUUUUUUUAAAAUUGAUAAUAUUUCAAUCGUCAAUUUAAAAGACUUUAGAAAUAAUAGACAUCGACACAUUGAACAUAAUUGGUAUAAUAUCCUUGACUCUAGCUACGACUGUUCAAAAUCGAAUCGAAAUCAAUAAUCUGUAAUGACAUUUUGGUUAGUGAACUAGUGGUUCGACUUUUCGGAUUACCAAGUGUAAAGUAUGUGUGAUUUGUUGUUAUCAUAGUAUUUUAUAAAUUAUAUUUGAAAAUUAUAUAUAUAUAUAUAUAUUAAUUUUAUUAGUAUGUGUUUGUUGUUAUCAUAGUAUUUUAUAAAUUAUAUUUGAAAAUUAUAUAUAUAUAUAUAUAUUAAUUUUAUUUAAGCGAAAUAAUAAAAAAAUUAUUUAUUAGAGAUCAUUUAGUAAUAAAUAUAAGUAAUAAUUCAUAAUUUAUCAAAUCGUCGUAAUAUAGGGGUGAAAGAGUUAUAUGAUUAAUACUUAUACCUCUCGACAGAUGUGAACUAUAUGCAUAAUUUUUGUAAGUGUCAAUGUUUAUCAGGUUUAAGGUAUGUUGAGUUGUCGUCAUUGUGAUAUCUUAUAAAUUAUGCCUGAGAAUUAUUUAAAUAUAUAUUUUAAUUUUAUUUAACCACAUACUUAAAAAAAUAAAGAAUUAGAGAUCAUUUUAGUAACAAGGAGAGAAAGUCGGAGAAGAACAUGAGAAAAAAAUAGACAGUAAAUGUAGUGUUUGAGUUAUAGCAAAAAAUAUAUACAUUUUUGAAGAAAUAUACGUAUUUUAAUGGUAUAAGACUAUUGAUAUUCUUGCCUAAGAAUUUAUAUUUCAAUUAAAUUGUAAUAUAGGGAGUAUACAUAUUUUAAUAUUUCAAUUAAAUUGUAAUAUAGGAAGUAUAAAUAUUUUAAUAUUUUGAAUAAGAGGGCUGAAAAAGUCAAUAGUACGGAAAAGUGAACAAAUUGCUCCGAUUUUUGCGACAUACUUUAAUUAGAGUUAGAAGUUUUAAAAUUUUAAUUUAUGUAUAUGAUAAAGUUUUUUAAUAGUAUUCCAAAUUUACCCUUAAAAAAAGAUCGGUACGAAUUUCUUGACAAAUAAAUAAAUGGGACCCCAAAAAAUAAAAUAUCAUUAGAUCUCAUUCACACGAAGUCGAGAAUAUUUGAAACUAGUUUCCUACACAAUUGGAUGUACAUUUUUUUUAAUGUUACAACUGUUUACUAUUAAUAUUCUCUGUAUCAAAUUAAUUAUCUUUUCUUUUUUCUCCUUUUUAAGAACGAACAAUCGAGAUCAUUUCCUGACAACUCUGCUUCUGUUUCUUUGAUUGUGAAGAAUACCAGUCGAAGAAAUCAAUCUCUAAGGUAUGAUGGCCUUCCUUAUCUUCAUUUUCCAUUUUUGUUUUCAGUAUUGUUAGCUGUAUCACCAUUUGUUGUUUGUACUGUUGUGUUGCGUGGAAUUUUACUAAGUUUUGGGCAGCCUAAUAUACCGAAAAUCGAAAUGGAAGAAAAAACAAGUAGUCAUGGUAUUUUUUAUGCCUUUGAAAACUGGGGUGUUAUAUGGUACUACUAAUGUUGAGAGUACUGAAGAUAGUUACUAUGUGGAGAGAUAUACGGAGAGGGACCUCGUAGAGCAUUCAAUUGAUAAGAUCAAUGAUCUUUCCCCUCUACUCGAGGAAAGAUCUCGAGAAUUUCAGUUUGGGAAUGGGGUUUUGAGGAAGCAGGAAGGGAGUUUUAUGAGGAGAGUGAAGAGAAACAUGGGAAGGAGGAACUCAUGGAGAGUCAAUACUCUCUGAUUCCAACGGUUGAUGAAGCAUACACUCCUCCGCCCCUGCCUCAUUUUUUCGAUACGAAAAUGGAGGGCACAAUGCAAUGCUCGGCAAAUUACGUGCCUCUGAGUCCCAUAAGCUUCUUAGAAAGAUCAGCAGUUGUGUAUAGCAAUAGGCUUUCUAUCGUUCACGGAGAUGUUAAAUUUACUUGGAGAGAAACCUGUGAUAGGUGUCUCCGUCUUGCUUCUGCUCUUACUCAACUUGGAAUUUCUCGUGGUGGCGUCGUUGCUGCCUUGGCUCCAAAUAUUCCUGCAAUGUAUGAGCUGCACUUUGGAGUACAAAUAAAUGGCUGAGCGAGUUCUCUGUGCACUUAAUACGCGUCAUGAUUCAGCAAUGGUCUUGGUGUUACUUAGACAUUCAGAGGCCAAAAUUAUAUUAGUAGAUCACCAGUUGCUCGAUAUUGCUAAGGGUGCACUAGAAAUUCUGUCCAAGGCGAGUGCCAGGUUGCCACAUCUAAUUUUGAUCUCUUAUAAAGAGAGUUAUCCAGUACUAAUAGCUUGCCAGAAAUUCUAGAGUACUGAGUCAUUUUCAGCUACUGGAGAACCUACUUUUGAGAUAGUAUGGCCAAAUGAUGAACGGGAUGCCAUUGCUCUCAAUUAUACUUCAGGGACAACGUCAAGACCCAAAGGGGUCAUUUAUAGUCACAGAGGGGCAUAUUUUAUUUCUCUGUCUGCAGCUCUGCUCGCUGAAAUGAUUUCGAUGCCUGUCUAUUUUUGGACUCUUCCCAUGUUUCAUUGCAAUGGGUGAUGUCUUUCUUGGGCUGUGGCGGCACAAGGUGGCACGAACAUUUGCCUGAGAAGUGUCGCCGAAGAAGGGGUUUUCAACAGCAUAGUUCAGUGCUAAGUGACUAACAUGGCUGGUGCACCUACGGUUUUGACAAUGAUAAUAAAUGCACCACCGAGUGUCCAAAGACCACUUCCAAGGACAGUACAUGUUAUGACAGGUGGCGCACCACCACCUCGUUAUGUUCUACUUAAGAUGAAAGAGCUCAAUUUUAAUGUUAAUCACGGAUAUGUUCUAACAGAAACCUAUGGUCCAGCAACAUUUUGCGCUUGGAACCAGAGUGGAACUCUCUAUCACCUGAUGAGCAGGAUAAGAUUCAGGCUCGUCAAAGAGUGAACCAUAUUGGCUUGGAGGAAGUAGAUGUAAAAUAUCCUGAAUCAAUGAAGAGUGUACUCUUUGAUGUCAAAACAAAUGGGUGAGGUGAUGAUUAGAGGAAACACUGUAAUGAAUGGUUACUUAAAGGAUCUCAAAGCCACAGAAAUGCUUUUAAAGGAGGCUGGUUUCGAAGGGGGACUUGUCAGUGAAGCGUCUUGAUGGUUACAUGGAGUUAAAGGAUCGUUCAAAGGACAUUAUUAUCUCUAGUGGAGAAAAUAUUAGUACGAGCGAAGUGGAGUCGGUAAUCUUUAGCCAUCCAGCUGUUCUUGAAGCUGCUGUAGUGGGAAGACCAGAUGAUCAUUGGGGUGAAACACCUUGUGCAUUUAUUUAAAAGAAAAAAGAUGAUGCAAUGCCAUUGCUAAUGAGAUUAUCAAGCAUUGUCGUGAUCGUUUGCCGCAUUACAUGACUCCUAAGACAGUAAUUUUCGAUGAUUUGCCAAAAACUUCAAUAGGAAAGACUCAAAAAUUUGUUCUGACACAGAGUACAAAGAGCUAUCUAUACAACAACAACAACAACCCCAAUGUAUUCCCACCAAGUGGGGUCUGGGGAGGAUAAAAUGUACGCAGUCUAUACCGCUACCUUAGGUGAAGUAGAGAGGCUGUUUUUGAUAGAUCCCCGAUUCAAGAUAAAGAAUAGUUAACAAGGUCAUAGCAAUACAUGAAACGGAAUGGUUGGCAUAACCGAAAUAAGAAAUGAGAAAUAGUGACAAUAGAGCUAAGUGAGCCACGAAAAUAAGAGCAAUAUGGAAAAUUAAGAACAGGAAAUAAGAAAAGGAAAAGCAAAAGAAAAGGAGAAAAGGAUAACCCCUAGUAGUAGCAUACACUAAUGUCUCCUACCAAUGGACACAGUUGUAGGCUUACUAACCCGGCUACACCAGAGCUCCAUAACUACUAGUUACAACCCAUACACGCACUAACUUUCUACCCUUAUUGAUACAAGAAUAAUCCCGAAAAUGGAUUUAUGAGAGUGCGUGUUGGAUCCGAGACUUGGUGUGUUCAAUUGAAGAGCCAAAGAGGACCUAAUUAUGCACCCAAAACAGUCCAAACACUACACUUGGGCUACACUUGAUGGGAGCCCAUCACUUAAGGGCCUUUUGGUCAUUUUUAGCUUUCAUUUUGUAAUAACUAUAUAAGUAACAUGCUAGGGCUUCCAUUAGUAGUUUUUGGAUGAUAUUUGUAAGUCUUGUAAGACUUGAAACACCAUAGUUAGGGCUUGGAAAAGCCACCAAUCGAAACUGCGACAAGAUCUAGUGUGGAAUCACUAGUGAUUGUAAAUUGCUUGGAAACAUUGAUGCUUGGGAGAUGAAAUCCGAACUUGUAUCUUUGUAAGAGAUAGGUUUAUUGUUGUGUGUAAUGUUAAGGGUACAAGAUUGUCCAUUCUUGGGUUCUUAAGAUUAUGCCUUCAUGUGGUCUAUCUAUCUAUCCUUUUACCUUCUUGUAAUCUUGUUUAUUGUUUGUGUUGCAAUCUUAUGUUCUUGUUGUUAUUGUUAAAUCCAAAUCUUGUGUCUUCUUGUUUAUCAUCUUGAGUUCAUCUUGUUCUUGUUCUUGUUGCUGUUUUGGUGUUAAAACACAUAAUUAUAUCUUGUAUUCUUGUUGUUGGUAGUGAAUUCGAGAGUGGUCUCCAAAAAAGGUCCUCGGAUCCUUAAGAUUUGCGGACUGUUUUGGAGUUGUUUCGUGUUUCCCUUGUUGUUCUUGUAUCAUUUGGUAUCAAGCCAUCUUUGGUUUUGUUCUUACAAUACCAAUCUUGGGCUUUCUUUCUAAGAAAAUUAAAAAAAAUAAGGAAAGAAAGACGUGUUCUUGAGCUUGAGAUCUUGACUGAGAAGUUGAACUUCUUGUUGUAUCUUGGCCGAAUAUUGUGUCUAGGUCUAGGAUUUAUUUUGCUUGUGUUGUUGUUUCAAGUGUUAGUAAUCUUGUCCAUUAACACUUUGAGCAAUUUAGAUUUGAGCUUUAAAAAAAUUGAUGUUUUUGUUGUGAACAAGACCAUGGCCGUGUGUUGAAGUUGUUGUUCUUGGCCGUAUGAACUUGUUGUUCUAGUCUUGGUUGGAAGUUGUUGGUGUUGUUGUUGCUCUUGAUAAAGUUGUUGUAGAGUUCUUGACAUUCAUCACAACCUUCACCCUUGCUAAAAUCGAAAUACAACACCAAAAAGAACCUUGGCCGUGUGUUGACACUAAAAUUGGCCGUGAUGUGUGUUGAUGUUUGCCGUGGGGUGGACAUUGUUGGUCUAUUGUUGAUGUGUUCUUGAAGGUUGUUGUGGUGUUCAUAUUUUUCUUCUUCUCAUCUUACAACUUAAGACAACCAAAAGUGUAACAUAGAUUCAAAAAGGUGAACCUACUAGUUGUAAAGUUGUUUGUGAGAAGACUUGAGCCAUCACUUUCUUGACAUCUACUUUUCAACCACUUUCCUUGUUUAGGGACCUUGUUUUGUGGGAAUUGUACAAAGUCAAGUCUUGCCUUUUGAAGAUUAGGCUUAAAGGAGAUUUAAGACAUAUACUUUCCAUCCAAAACCAAUUGUUUCUAUUACAUAGUAACUAAAGUUUGUAAACAUCAACUACUGACUAAUUGUGGGGCUGUGACCAAUGGCAUGCUGCCAUGUCACCCAAUUUACUGUUCACACAAAAAUUUUAAGCUCAAAAUUUGAUCUUCUAGUUUCAUUGUGUUGUUUCUUUAGUUUCCUUUGUUGAUUCCAUUACUAACUUACAAGCUAGUUUUAGAUUGUAAGUUAGUUUUGAAACCAUCCUUCGUGUAUACGUUCCUUUGUGUGUCUUAUUAUUUUGAGUCGUUGUAAUACUUGGUCCACCUCUCACUGCCCAUGGAGUACAAGCAAGGUUACGACACUUGUGAGAUCAAAGUGAGGGGAAAAAAUCCGAGAGACAACAAUAGAGAGGGAGAGUGAGGACCAUUCUUGUACAACUAACUUAUUUGUUGUUUUGUAGGUAACUUCUUGGCUAUAAUGGAAACCAUUUUUGCCCUCCUUGAUGCUUUGUCCCGAGACCUUGCUAGGGCAAAUGCGGGUCUUGAAAAAAUUUACUCGAAUAUGGUAACUAUGAGUGAGAGGUUGGAUCUAAUGGAGAGUCGAAGGAACUUUCGUGCUUUUACUCCUAAAACUUUACUUCCAAUGACCAAUCCUCCAAGACUACCACAUAAUGCCACAAGCCAAAAGCUCCAAAUACCCCUCAGAACCGAGAACAAGAUAGACCACUUCCCCCGUAAGUUGAUCAAGUCCAACAAGGAGGACUUAGAAGCCAAUUUCCUCCUAUCCAAGCUCCACAACCGAAGCUCCACGAUACCAAAUCGAGCCUCUCAACCGAAACUUCCCUUUCCAAAAAUCGACACUUCCAAGAAGAGGAACAUAGUAGAAAGGAACAUGAGGUACAUGGAGUCUACAAUGACGCUUCUAUGAUGGAAGGAGAAUUGAGUCGGGUGAGAUUGAAGGCAAGUCUAAGAUGGAGAGAAAGCCGAGGUGCAAAAUGAAGUUGUUGACCGAGACUUGUUGUAUUCAGCUCUCGAAUUCCUCCUAUUUUGCGGACUGUUUUAUGCCGUUUCAUGUUUUUGCGGGCUGUUUUGUGCUGUGAAUUUGUGGGCAAAUUCCUCUCAAGAUGGGGAGGAUGAUACAAGAAUAAUCCCGGACAUGGAUUUAUGAGAGUGCGUGUUGGAUCCGAGACUUGGUAUGUUCAAUUGAAGAGCCAAAGAGGACCUAAUUAUGCACCCAAAACAGUCCAAACACUACACUUGGGCUACACUUGAUGGGAGCCCAUCACUUAAGGGCCUUUUGGUCAUUUUUAGCUUUCAUUUUGUAAUAACUAUAUAAGUAACAUGCUAGGGCUUCCAUUAGUAGUUUUUGGAUGAUAUUUGUAAGUCUUGUAAGACUUGAAACACCAUAGUUAGGGCUUGGAAAAGCCACCAAUCGAAACUACGACAAGAUCUAGUGUGGAAUCACUAGUGAUUGUAAAUUGCUUGGAAACAUUGAUGCUUGGGAGAUGAAAUCCGAACUUGUAUCUUUGUAAGAGAUAGGUUUAUUGUUGUGUGUAAUGUUAAGGGUACAAGAUUGUCCAUUCUUGGGUUCUUAAGAUUAUGCCUUCAUGUGGUCUAUCUAUCUAUCCUUUUACCUUCUUGUAAUCUUGUUUAUUGUUUGUGUUGCAAUCUUAUGUUCUUGUUGUUAUUGUUAAAUCCAAAUCUUGUGUCUUCUUGUUUAUCAUCUGGAGUUCAUCUUGUUCUUGUUCUUGUUGCUGUUUUGGUGUUAAAACACACAAUUAUAGCUUGUAUUCUUGUUGUUGGUAGUGAAUCCGAGAGUGGUCUCCAAAAAGGUCCUCAGAUCCUUAAGAUUUGCGGACUGUUUUGGAGUUGUUUCAUGUUUCCCUUAUUGUUCUUGUAUCACUUAUUCGCGACCUCCACAUCUUCCUAUCUAGGGUUAUGUCCUUAAAAAGCUGUAAUAGCUUCAUGUCAUGUCUAAUCACUUCUCUCCAGUAUUUCUUCGGCCUACCUCUACUCCUCCGAACACCAUUCAAAGCUAGCCUCACACUUACGAACUGGGGCAUCCGUGCUCCUCCUCAUCACAUACCUAAAUCAUCUCAGCCUUCCUUCCCGCAUCUUGUCCUUCACCAAAGCCACUUUCACCUUCUCCCGGAUAAUCUCAUUCUUAACUCCAUCUCCUCUAGUAAGUCCACACAUCCAACGCAACAUUCUCAUUUCCGCUAUUUUCAAUUUUUGAAUGUGGGAGUUUUGACUGGCACUAUAAAAACCUUUAAGCUCUUUCUCUGUCUGGCCCAGUUUCAUUGGAUAUAAUGAUGUUAUAUCCACGUGUACUUCAUCUUCAACUCCAACUCCGGGAAAAAGUAAUUUUCAUGGCUAAAUGAUUAUAUAAUGUCAAAAAUUUAGGAAGAACAGUUUUAAAAAAAGAAGAUAUUUAUUUUAUAUUUAAAAAAAAAUAGACUAAAAAAGGUUAAAAAAAAUUAUGCGCGGAAGGAUUAAGUAUACUUCUAAACUUUGCAAGAAAUAUUGACGAUACACAUGUAUAACUUUUAGGUUAUUAAAUUAAUUUUUUUGUUUUUACUUGUUUAGAGGAAAAAGGUACAUCGUUUAUGUAAAAAAAGAUAAAAAUAAUUUUUUUUCAAACAACUUAUAAAUACGUUUUUUACUUGAUUUGCAUCUUUUUACUUAAAUAUUUUUUGGUGAACAUCUUUUUAUUUUAUAUACACACACACACAUAUAUAUAGAAAAGCACUAAUUUUAUGUAGAUAAAUAGAAAAGCUCUAAUUUUAUGCAGGCAAGUGAAAAUUAACUUAUUUUUAAAAAGUAUUUUAUAGAAAAUGAUAUUUUUUCUUUUCAUAGCAAACACAUGACUAAGUUUCGAUACGUUCACCGAAAAAUAUUUAAGUAAAAAGAUGUAAAUCUAUAUGUCAAGAAAUUUUAUGAUUUAGAACUGAUACAUAAGUUGUUUUAAAAAAAAUUAUUUAUAUUUUUUUACAUAAAUGAUGUACCUCUUUUCUCUAAACAAGUAAAAACAAAAAAUGAAUUUAAUAACCUAAAAGUUAUACAUGAGUAUAGUUAAUACUAGAUAUUGAUGGCCCAUCAUGCCAGCACGAGCUCAAUAUAUGUUUUUUUUUUUUAUCUUAAUUUAAAUUAGUAAAAUCGUUUAUCUUUUUAAUUAUUGUGAUUUAUAAUAUUUUUUCUUCUGCUUCAAUUUAAAUGUUGAUGGUCUAAUUUUGAGAGUUUGUCAAGUAUUUUGUAUUUUUUAAACUUCUUAAGUUGUUAAUUAUGUCAUAUCCAAUGUCUUUUACAUUAUUUUUCAAUAAUAUAUGAAUAUUCUCCCUGACUCAAUUUAUGUGUUACAGAUAAAAUUUUGACUGUUAAUCAAUUUUUUUUUUACAUAUAUACUUUUAUUUUAAGUUUCUUAAUUAUUGUGAUUUAUAAUACUUUUUAUUUCAUUUUCAAAUAAUAUAUGUUAUUUUAUUCUUGGUCUGUCCCAUCCCAAUUUAUAUGCACUAAUGUAAUUUCGAUAGCCAAUUAAUUUUUUAAUGUUAACAUAUCAUUCUAUGUCUCUUUUACCUUUUUAUGAAAUAUUAUCAAUUUUUCAAUGCUUAGACGAUCAUAAUAAUUAAUUAGUGGUGAUAUAGUAAAAUCAUGGUGAAAGCAAUGAAACACACGUCUUAAGUGACUUGUAAUUGUUAGAGUGGGUAAAAGUCCCACAUUGGUUGGGGAAUGGACUAGUGGUUUGCUUAUAUGGACUUGGGUAAUCCUCCCCUCUUGAGCUAGCUUUUGAGGUUGAGUUAGGUCCAAGGUCCAUUCUUGACAUGGUGUCAGAGUAAGGUCCAUUCCCGUUUUGGGCUCCCGAUUCACGCGCCAGUGCUAGUUGGGCCUGGGCGUGAGGGGGUGUUAGAGUGGGUAAAAGUUCCACAUUGAUUGGGGAAUGGACUAAUGGUUUGCUUAUAUGGACUUGAGUAAUCCUCACCUCUUGAGCUAGCUUUUGAGGUUGAGUUAGGCCCAAGGUCCAUUUCUUUAUCAUGGUAUCAGAGCCAGGUCCAUUCCCGUUUUAGUCUUCCGGUCCACGCGUCAGUGCCAGUUGGGCCUGGGCGUGAGGGGGGUGUUAGAGUGGGUAAAAGUCCCACAUUGGUUGGGGAAUGGACUAGUGGUUUGCUUUUAUGGACUUGAGUAAUCCUCCCCUCUUGAACUAGCUUUUGAGGUUGAGUUAGGCCCAAGAUCCAUUCUUGACAGUAAUAACUAAUUAGAAGCGACGUAGUAAAAUUAUUAUGAAAAAUACUUGUAUAAUAAUUAAUGGUACAGUAAAAUUACGAUUGAAACAGUUAUAAAUGUCUAUUUUACUUUUUUUUCUAAUUAAAUAUUAUUAAUUUCUUAAUAUGUAAAUGACUAAUAAUAUUUAAUUAUAGAUAAUAGAGUAAAAUUACGAUAGAAGCAGUUGAAACAGAUGUCAUAAAUGUCUAUUUUAAUGUUUUAAUUAAAUAUUAUUAAUUUUUUAAUACAUAAAUGACUUAUAAUAAUUAAAUAGGGGUGGUAUAGUAAAAUUACAGUUAAAAUAGCUGAAGCAACCAUGUCGACCUCCUGCCUGCUUCUGUUUCUUAGCUUGCUCUUAUAUUAUAAGAGAAUUUCUUGCAAAGUUUAGAAGUAUAUUUAAUCAUCUCAUGCAUAAUUUUUUUAACCUUCUUUAGUCUAGUUUUUUUUUUUUUUUAAAAUAAAAUAAAUAUAUCCUUUUUUUAAAAUUGUACUUUCAAAAGUUUUGACAUAAUAAUUCUUUCUCUAUAUGACAUAAAUAUUUUCCUAUACAUUCUAACCUGUUUAACAAAAUUCGUUAGAUUCUAUUGUUAGAUGAGUUUGAUCCUGUUGUUAAGUGAUUCUAUAUGAGGAAUCUACUAUUAACUAUCUGAACUUUCACCUAAUUGGUGACGGUUUGAUUUCGCAUGUUAAAUCGUUUGACUUUAUUGUUAAGCGAAUUCUAUAUGAGGAAUCUACUGUUAGCUACUUCAAAAUUAUUUUAUUGGUGAUAGUUAGAUUUUGCAUGUUGCAAUUUUCUACCUAUUUCCUUCCCUUAUCCCCAAACUUUUUUUUACUUUUUUAAAAAUAUAAGUGGAUCCUAUAAGCUCAAUUUUCUCAAACUUAAAACUUAGAAGGUCCAUAAUUGCUUAACCUUAUAUAUCAAGGACAAAUAUAGACUUACCCCUGAAAUUAAGGAACAAAGUUAAAAUUCAUCAAAACUCAUUCUUUCUCUUUAAGAAUUGAAUUUUCCACAAACUAAAACAAAGUGAAUCUAUAUAAAAUCCCUUCUCAAAUUGUUACAAAGUUCUAUUCUUUUUGCAUCACAUAUUCUUGCCAAUACAACUUUCAAGAAACAAAGAAAGAAAAAGAGAAGUUUUUGCCAGCGUUGUACGAAUCACACUGUAUGUUUUUUCUUAUUCUUGUACAUUUAUUCAUCUUUUGUGUCUAAUCAAACAACCCCUUUUCGUUUUUUUAUGAAAUUAAAGACAUCCUUUUCGUUUCUUGCAUUGAAUUUGACUAUGAUGAUUUGAGGGAAGUAAAAAGAGGCUCUUUUAUUGGGUAUUUUUGCUUUUGUACGUAGAUUUUUGAUUGGUUUAUUCGAGCUGAGGUACCUUGGUAUGGUAGUGGUAAGGUCGUGUACAUAUUAUCCUUCCUAGAUGUCACUUGUGCUAUGUUGUUGUUGGUUCAUUACUCGUGGCAGAAUAAUGAAGUGUUUUAAUCAUCUAUUUGUGUCUAAUUAGACAACCCCUUUUCGUUUUCUUAUGAAAUUAAAGACACCCUUUUCGUUUCUUGUAUUGAAUUUGACUAUAAUGAUUUAGGUGAGUAAAUGAGGUUUUUUUAUUGGGUACUUUUUGUUUUUGUACGUGGAUUUUUUAUAUGUUUAUUUGAGAUGAGGUAUCUUUAAGGCCGUGUACUCAUCAUUCUUCCUAGACUCCACUUGUGGUAUGUUGUUGUUGGUUCAUUACUACUCUUUCUACUAGUAUAUAAAAGAGCCACUAUAGGGACCAAAGGCAAAUCUGUCAUUUAGCUCAAAUGACAAAAGAGAAACAUCCGCUCCUUGUCAAGUGUUGAGAAUUUUCUUUUCUCCAAAUAUUCAAGGCCUUCUCUUUAACUUCAUCUUUUCAUCUGGAUGUGCAGUUUUAGGUUAGUUUUUUUUUGCAAUAUUCGCCUUAAUCUACUUUCGAAUCUCUUUUAAUUUGCCUAAUUUCAUAACCUAGGUGGUUAUUGUUCUUCCUAAUCUCUUUUGAUUGGAAUGCUGGGACUGUUGUUUUAAGAUAUCGAUUUGAGCUAAAGAUCAUACAUUUUCACUAUAAGAGCUUGGUUAUUUUCCUUAAUGUUCAACAGGCUAGACACAUGUAGUAUAUAUAAUCUAAAAUAGAAUUCUAGAAAUCAAAAGCAAUAUGUAUGUUUUAAAAAUAUGUUUUCUUCUUAAAAAUAAAAUCAAAGAAAGUUCUGUAAGAAAUUGAAAGGUGACAAAUUUUUGUAUAGUUAGACCAGAAGUACAGUGGAAAUUUAAGAUUAAUAGUAUAUGAAAAUAGAAGACACCUAAAUAGAU
rnacentral:lncRNA from 1 species